rnacentral:lncRNA from 1 species
UGAUUUACACCCAAAACAACUCUUCAUAUUCAUCAGUAUUAAAGGCUUCAAUAAAAAAUCUCAUUUUCUCAACCCCCACAAACCCGAAACCUGUAUUCGUCAUCACCCCAUUUCAUGUGUCCGAAAUUCAAGCAGCCGUUAAAUGCUCCAAAAAAAAUGGUCUGCAAAUUAGAGUGCGAAGUGGAGGUCAUGAUCAUGAGGGUCUUUCCUCUAUUUCUGACGUUCCUUUCAUCAUCAUUGAUUUGAUAAAUUUCAUUGAGAUCAGUGUUGAUGUAGAAGAAAAAACAGCAUGGGUUGAAUCUGGUGCUACCAUCGGGCAACUUAAUUAUAGAAUUGCUGAGAAGAGCCAGAAUCUGCUAACCUUUCCGGUAGGAACUUGCCCUGGUGUGGGCGUUGGUGGACAUUUUAGUGGGGGCGGCUACGGUGUCCUGUUGCGUAAGUACGGGCUGUCUGCUGACCACAUAGUUGAUGCUCACAUGGUUGACGUCAAAGGUGAGAAAUUUUAAAGAACAAAUACAGAGAAAAUAGCUUCUCAAAAAAAAAAAAAAACAAUUACAGAGAAAAUAGCAAUAAUAAGAUUCAGAGUAGGUUUAAUAAGUGAGUUUAUACAGGUGACAGAAUUUGAAGGUUUUUAUUACCAUUUCUCAAACUAUGGAGAGUGGCGAAUUGCUAUAAUCAGUAUAAUUUGAGAAUGAAUGACAAACAAUAAUUAAUCAAUCAAUUAUUUUUCUAUCCAGAAUUUAGGGAAAAAAAUAUUAAGAGUGGAUAAAACUCAGAUCAAUUUUGCAGUAAUAUAUCUCGGCCAAGUCUCUAGGGCUCAUUCAAAUAGGGGCGGAUUUACUAUAGGAAGUCCCCACUGGAAAAAAAAAUCUUCAAUAAUUAACUUAGUUUUCUUAAAAUUCUCAAUAAAUUUUUCUGAAGCACCCACUAAUUUAUAGUCAAGCUUGCAAUACUUCGUUACACUUAAAUUCUCACACUCCAAAAUUUUAAAUUCAAAUAAAAAAAGAUGGGCUUUGCAAACUAAAAUCAAACCCAUAAAUAUUAAUAUUAAUAUUAAUUUAAUUUUUAGACGAGCCACAAACUCAUUAAUAAUUUUUUUAUUAAUCUUACUUUUUUCAAUUCCACCACUAGUCCAGCGCCCAUAAAAAAUCCCAAACAUCUUUUUAUUUUUGUUGUUUACAUAGAAAAAGACCUAUUGAAUAACAUUGAUAAUAAAGUUGUAAUACAAUGUAUUAAUGUAUGAACACUCGUAUGCUGUAGCAUUAAAAAUCUUUUAAAUUUAUAUAUUUAUUACUUUUUGAAUCUUUUUAUAUUACCAUUGAAUAAGCCCUCAGUGAACCACUAUGCUGUCUCCGCCCCUGUUCAAUCAUAUGUCGAUUUGUCUGCAUUUUCCAUCUUUGUUUCGCUUCUUUUCAGGUAGAUUUCUAAAUAGAGAAUCAAUGGGAGAAGAUCUAUUUUGGGCCAUUCGCGGAGGCGGAGGAGCUAGCUUUGGAAUCAUUGUUUCGUGGAAAAUAAAUCUAGUUGCUGUUCCACCAACUGUGACGGUAUUCAACGUCCCGAGAACCUUAGAACAAAACGCAACAAAGCUACUUUUCAAAUGGCAGUGCAUUGCAGACAAGGUUCAUGAAGAUUUAUUCAUCUCACCCUUGUUAUCACGAGUGAAUUCCACUAUGGUCUCUGCAUUCACGGCCUUGUUUCUUGGUGGGGUUGAUAGGCUGCUUCCAUUGAUCCAAGACAGUUUUCCUGAGCUCGGUUUGACUAGAAAAGACUGCAGAGAAAUGACUUUUGUUGAAUCUAUCGUCUAUUUUGAUGGUUAUGAGGUUGAAGAUCCGAUUAAUGUGGAUGUAUUGCUUGGUAGGGAUUUUCACGUAAGGUUUAUCAGAGGAAAAGCAGACUAUUUAACAGAACCAAUUCCUGAAGAAGCUUUUCAAGGAAUUUAUGAUAUAUUUUUUGAACAGGAUCAGGAAACUAACGGCGUUCUAUUGUUUUUUCCUUAUGGUGGGAAGAUAAGUGAGAUUUCAGAGUCCGAAAUUCCGUACCCACAUAGAGCUGGUAACAUAUACACACUUUUAUACUAUGCGGGUUGGGAUCUAGAAUCAACUGAUGACACAUAUCAAAGGCAUGACAAUAUGCUCAAAAAGUUGUUCAAUUAUAUGACUCCCUAUGUUGCCAAAAAUCCUAGAACAGCGUAUAUUAAUUACAGGGAUCUUGACGUCGGAACAAAUGACAAAUUAGGCCACACAAGCGUCCAGGAAGCCAGCGUUUGGGGUAAAAAGUAUUUCAAAAAUAAUUUCUACAGGUUGGUGCAUGUGAAAACUAUGGUGGAUCCUGAAAAUUUCUUCAGAAAUGAACAAAGCAUUCCCCCUUUCAACUUGGUGAAAGAUGAACUGUGAGCAAGUCCAAGGCUGCCCUUGCUAGUUAAUAAACGUAGUGCAGGCUAGGGUCAGAUAAUAUAUGUGUGUGUGUGUGUGUGUGUGUGAGAGAGAGAGAGAGAGAUAGAGAGAGAUAAUUGUAUUGCUAAAUAAUUUCUGCUUUAUAUAGUCUUUUUAUGUGCAAAGUAUACCUUUUUUAUUUUCUGUUUUUCCUCUUUUGGGCUUAGAUUAGCAGGGAAAUAGAGGAUUUGGUGCCAAAGAGAAGUAGUAAAAAUUUUUGGGUACUUGCAUGCUCUUUCUAUAUUAUUAGGGUGGUAACGUACAUGAAAUUUAUAUUUCAUUGCUUUAUGCAUAACUCUCUCUUUUAUUUUUUAUUUGAAAUUUUUGUUCUCUCAAGCAAUAUUAAUUUUAAGCGACACUAACAUAAGAAAAUAAUUAUUAUUUAUUAACAAUAUGAAAGUAGCACUAUCAGCAAUGUUUGAGAACAAUCAAAUUUGAUUUCUAAGAUUUGAGAGAAUUUGCACCCUUUUUAAAUUAUCAUUUUUUAAUAAUAUAUAAUGGUAAAAAAUUAUAGGUUAUGGGCCCAUGUAUGCAGGAAGGUCCAGCCCACAUCCUAAUUGUAAGGCCUUGGACUUGAAAUAAAGUAGUGGUUUUAUAUAUGAGUCCAGCUAUGGUACCAUAGUGAUACCAUAUUUUUACCCUUUAUAUAUAUUUUUUUUUCAAAAAAGAACAUUCUUUCAUCAAUCGGACAAUGAAGUGAAUGGUUAGAUUCUAAAAUUUAUUACAAAAUUUCUAGUUCAUUUGGAUAUUUGUUAUCUGCAACGCUCACAUUCCAAUAUUUGUGUAAGAAUAUGGUUACAAAGAUUUUGUUAAAGCGAACGUAUAAAGUAGAAAGUUCACAUCAAAAUCAUAUUUAAUUAGUACGAUUUUAAAAGACUUAUAAAUUAACCCUACAACACGUCAAAGGGAAUGAAGAAAUGAGUAAAAUGUAAGCCUUCUAGAUUCUUAGUUUUACGUAUUUAUUUAUACCUUAAAUAUGAAUUCAGCCGAUUCAAAGCUAUGAAUAUUGGCCCCAAAAUUUUCAAUUCAGUUCUUCAAUCUAUAUCUCAUUGUCUCAAUGCGGGGCACUGGGAAGCCAGUAUAGGACUAGCUGGGGUACAUCCCCAGGUGGUUUUGGGAAAUUGCCCCCAUCUGUGUGUUUAAAAUUAUGAAAAAUCCUUCUUGAUUGUGAAAAGUUUAGUAAUUGCCCAUAGUUUAAAAAUUGAAUUUACUUACCCAUGGUUAGAGAUAGUCAUUGGGCUAUACGGGCUCAUUAAAAAAUGGCCAUUUUGGCCCAACAUAAAAGUAAAUCUGAGUCCUAACAUGGCCCAUAGGUACAGCAUAUGUCGCCCGUGCUGGCCUGUCGUACAAUAUGGGCCCUGCCUUGGGUCAUCCCACGGGCCUCAAUUUUAAUAAAGAAUUUAUUUUUUUUGGUUUUUGUCGAGUCAUGAUUCUAUUGAUCCAUAUCAAGUUAUCCACUAAAUUCAAGUGUUCAGCAAUAAUAAUAAAUAUUGAUAUUUGAUAACUAAUAACUAAUAAUAAAUUAUGAAUUAAAAGAGUUUAUAAUGUUAUUUUUAAUUUAAUUGAGUAAUAUUUUUAUUUACUCUUUAAAAAUAAAAUUAUUAAUAACGAUUCAAAUCAUUCAAUAAAAUUUAAAUUAACUCAGUUAUAGGUUUAUCAAUGGAAAAUUAGAAAUUCAAAAUACAAUGUAAAAUUCCAAAUUUAAUUUUUAAAGUUUAAACUUUAGCUUUUAAGUUUGUAUUUUUAUUUUCUUCAACAAACUAAAAUAAGAAAUUAACAAAAAAAAAUUUCAAAAAAAUUGGAGUUGAUCCAUGGGCUCGUGUCUUGGCCAUUGCCAUGCCUUAUAAGAUUUCGUUCUUAAUAUAUAAUCAGCUUCCUCAAAAAAUGAAUUCUUAAUGUAGAAAUAAAUCAAUGAAUAUUAUAUUUAUAGUGCCAUAUAUAUUGUUAUUUGAACUUUUUGAAGUUAUAUUGCCCUUUUUUUUAAGGUUUGGAUGGUAAUGAGAAAUCUUACUCAUUAAUACUAAUUCUCACCGGCUUACCCUAUAUUAUUCACUCAAAUGACUGCAAGUGCAAGAUAUAAUACAGUCAACUGAGCUAUGCUUAAGAAAUGAAAUUGUAAUACACGUUGAAUGUGCCCCAACUAAAUUUUUUUUUUUUACUGCGUCCAUGUAUCUCGUUGUUAUAUAUUUAGAUGUACUUGAAAAUUAAAGUGUAAUAUUGUUGUUAACGAGAAAAAAAAGGGGCCAAAAAUAGAACAUUUUAACUAUCCUUUAAAUUCAGUAAGCAUUUUUAUUAUAAGCCAUUCAAGACAUCAUUCAAUAAAGGAAAAUUAUCAGCCAUAUACCCUUAAAUGAUAUCAGUAUAAAACGUGCUACACCACUUUUUAAGUAUAUCACUCGCAUACCCUAAGUUGACAAAACACUUCUGCUGUCCACCAAUCCGUUAACUGCCGUUUGCAAGCGUUAACAUCAUAAGGGUAAUCUAGUCUUUUUUAAGAAACGACAUGUCAUUCUAUUUACCUAAUAAAAUAUGACAUGUCAUAUGAUAUAUAUUGAUAAAAAUGACAUAUCAUCCCAUUUAUCGGAUAAAUGUUAAUAAUUGCUAAAAAAAAGCUACUUUACAACCGAAUUUACUCCUCCAAAAGUUAACUUAAAUUUUUGAAAAUCUACUCCUCCAAGCUCCAACUGAAAUUUUGUAUGGUAUAAUAUUUAUAAUUGUAAAUAAUAUAUUGUUAAUAAUUUUUUAUGGUAUAAUAUGAAUAUUUUUUACGGAUAAUUGUUAAUAAUAUGUACCAUUAAUAAUUCAUAUUUUUUUAAUAAAUAUAUUGUUAAUAAAAAAAUAAAAAAAUUGUGUAUUAAAAAUUUACGUAAAUUUUUUUGGUAAAUUUAUCUUUUUACCUCAUUUUGAGUUUCAAGGGCGAAAUAGUUAAUUUGCCACAAUUCUGUUAACUUUCUAAUAGAAGUUAACGGAUUAGUGGACGGCAGAAGUGUUUUGUCAACUUAGGGUAUACGAGUGAUACUCUGAAAAAAUAUUGUAGCACGUUUGAUACGAGCGUCAUUUAAGAGCAUAUGACUGAUAAUUUCCCUUCAAUAAAGGGUAAAGAACAUGAAAAACAGUGAUAACAAAAAGUUAUUAAAUUAUAGUAUCUAGUCAUACACAUUUUUUAUUGGAGAAACAAAAUAGAAAAACAUCUAACAUAAAAAAUGUUUCUCUCAUUUCAUAAAAUAUAUGGGAGCUCUUGAAAUUGAAUCUGUAUAGGGUAAAAAAUUGAUUUUGUUAAGAACAAUAGUCUUAUUAUCUACUUACACGAGUACCUCUUUAUAUAUAGGCAAAGUCAUUUUAUCUUAGAACAGAUUUUAAAAAAUUGUGUACGGAGCACGUGAUUAUGCACAUUCCUAGGCUGGCCCUGGCUAUUCUAAUUAAGUGAAAAAUAUAAAUCUGAGAUAAAGAUAUAACAUUUGAAAAUUUACCCUGUUAACGUGAAUUAUUAGUUUGUCCCCUUUGUUUUACACUAAAUUUUGUAAUAGCCUACUAAACUUUAUGGCUUACAAUGCUUCAAGAAUAAAAUUUAUCUAAUAUUUAACUAAUUUCUUAAAUAAAAUAAUUAUUACUAACAUUAAUUAUUUCAAAAAUUUUAGGCUUAUAGCAAACCAAACUGUGGCGAUCGUAAAUCAUUGUGGAAACAUAUUCGACUAGAGUCACCUACUACGGGUAACACCACAUAACUUUUGUUGAUUCUAUUUUUGAUUUAUUGAUAAUAAUAAUUAUAGGAUUGAUAUAUGGUACAUAACAAUGUACUUUAACAAUUCCCCCUCAAUGUUUAUCAUCACAUGGACAUCACGAUGACUCUUCAAUGUUUAUCGUCACCCAUUCUAGACUCCUCCAUAGAUUCCUCAUGAUGAUUCAAUCAAACGGCUGUGAUGAGCUCUAUUGACGGCUUUGAAUUAAUUCUUCUUUCCUGCUCAUGAACUCUCAUUGCGAGACUUCAUCGAACGAUUCUUUCUUUUAACUUGCGCCCAAUCAAACCAAGUUACUUGAAUCAACUCCCUAAAGCAAAUAGUUUUUGCGCAUAAUUUUAAUAUAUUCGUAAGUUUACAAAUCUUUAAAAUUGGCAUAAUAGUAAUGAGAUUGAUGAGCAUAAUUUAUAUACAUAUUUUACCUUUUAUUAUAUAAUUGCUAGUUAAUUUUAUUUAUUAUUUUUAAUUAAUUGAAUUAUUUUAUUAAAUAGGGAGUUAAUUGGAGAUUAUGGAUGAAAAGUACAUAAAGAAUAAUAAAUGGACAGCAUUAAAGAUCAAAUCAAUUUGUGAAAGUAAUUAAGGAGAUGUGCAAGAAAUUCUGUUCGAAGAAAACAAAGCCAAUAAAUUGAAUUCUCCAUGCUCGUGCAAACAAAGAAGAAGGUUAAAGCUAAAGUGGGCAGCACAUAAAACAAAUCUUUUAAUUAAGCCUUUGAAUGGAAAGUCAAAGUAGAAUAAAGGAAGGAAAUCAAUAGCUUUUGGCUUUUAUGAGAAGAAAAUCUGCAGUAGUUCGACUUUCAUGGCUGCAUUUAUUUCUUUUGUUGCUCACAAUUUAAGUAUGUUUAGCUAAUUUUCUUAUACUGAGGUUAAGGAUGAAACCCUAUUCAAUGAAAUAAUUAUCUCUUUUUAUUUAAUUAAUUCCCUAUAUAUGUUCUUUGAUGAUUAUGGUUUUUAUUUCACAUGAUUAAUUGGAUGUUAUUAAAAUCUUUUCAUCAAUUCUGUCAUGCAUUAUUGAUUGUUAGGAUUAAUAUUCGAUUAAUUCUAUGCUUGGAUCUAUAAAGUUUAUACAUGAUUAUCUUUGAUUUUAUGUCUUUCAUUAAAUUGUUUACAUGGAGUGCUUAGGAAACUUUGACUCUUUGUUAUUCAAUAUGUUUACAUGGGAGGCUUAGAUGUCAUAUUAUUAAGCAGAAAAAGAACUUACAUUAGAUUUAAUUACUUGGGCUUAAUUGUUAUAUCCAUGAGAUAACAUAGAUUGAUUUCGAGUUGUCACUGUAAAAUUGGGGAUUAAUUAAUAAUUAGAUAAUUACUAGUUGAAUAGUGGUGGAUUCUGAAACCUUGGUAAUUCUUAUCUUAUUGAAUUCUCCUUUAUUUUAAUUGCUUCCUUAGUUUAAUUGGUUUAAUUUUCUUAAAAACUCAAUUUGCUCAACUAGGUUAGAAUUAAUAUUAAUUUUAGAUUUAAAUUAGACUUUUUAAUUUAUAACAAUCCUUGUGGGAUCGACCUCGUUACCACUAUUCUAUUUCUAGAUUUGUGUGCUUGCGAGUAUAUUAAAAUUUUCACAACAAGUUUUUGGCGCCGUUGCCGGGGAUUGUGCGAGAAAGUCAAGUUUAAUCUAGGUUAAUUUGAUUUUUCCACUAGUUAUAAUUUAGGUUGUCUUUUAUUUUAUUUAUUCAAUUUUUAUUUUUAUUUUAUUUUAUUUUGAAUUCAUUCUUUAGUUGUUUAAUUUCUUUUUUUUUUAAUUUCGUUUAUUCUCAUUAUUGUUGGUUUAUUUUAUUUUAUUUUCUUUCCUUGUCUGGUUAGUUUAUGAGUGUUUGGGAACGUGAUUCAACAAAUCGUUUGAUUAAAAGAGAGUCGAAAAUUGAUAGUAGUCAAGCUAGUUCUUUAGAAGUGAUGGAUGACCCAAAUAGACUAUUGCUAAUACUUCCACCAGUGCAAGCAGAGAAAACCCUUAGAGAAUAUUUUUCACCACUUGCAGCCAACCAACCAUCUUGUAUUUUGUUGCCACAAACCACAGCAACACACUUUGAACUAAAGCCCUCUAUCAUUCAACUUUUACCAUCUUUCCAUGGGUUAGAGAGAGAGGAUCCAUAUUUGCACAUUAAGGAAUUUCUUGACAUAUGCUCUACAUUUCGUUUUCAAAAUUUUAAUGAUGAGUCAAUCAGGCUUCGUAUGUUCCCUUUCUCAUUAAAAGACAAGGCGAAAGCUUGGUUGAAUUCACUUCCUGCUGGGUCUAUUACUACGUGGGAUGAAUUGAGUAAUAAGUUCCUCACCAAGUUUUUCCCUAUGUCUAAAACAAAUGCCCUUAGGAGAGAGAUAAGUGAUUUUUAUCAAAGAGAGGGUGAGCAAUUUUAUGAGUGUUGGGAAAGAUUCAAUGAUUUACUCCUCAAGUGUCCCCACCAUGGUUUUGAAAAAUGGAGACUUAUACAAUGCUUUUAUAACGGUUUAACCAUGUCAAAUCGUCAUAUGGUAGAGUCUAUGAAUGGUGGGAGAUUUUUGAACUUACAUGAAGGGGCCGCAUGGGAUUUCUUUAAUUCACUUUCUGAAAAUUCUCAACAGUGGGAUUUUUCAAAUCAAAGGGAAAAAUCAUCUCAAGUUUCUAGAAAGGGGUUAUACGAAGUUAAGGAUGACUUUGAUGUGAAAGCCACUCUAACUACACUUUCUAGGAAAGUAGAUGCCUUAGCUCUGAACCAAUCAAUGAAUCAUCAUCCUAGUGUAGCUAAUGAGGUUUGUGCUCUUUGUUCUAACUUGUCUCAUACAGCACAGAAUUGUCCAUCAUUACCAGUCUAUCCAGAGGCUUAUUCUGAGCAGGUACAUGCCUUACAAUCAUAUGAAAUAACCUCCAAUAGUCCAUAUUCAUCCACAUAUAAUCCUAAUUGGAGGAAUCACCCUAAUUUUUCUUGGAAACAAAACCAACCUUUGUCAAACCAAGGAGGGCAACAAUUUAACAUGCCCAAUCAACAAUUUGUCCCUCCUAACCAAGUAUAUCCUCCUGCCCAACAACCUAUGUCUCAAUUUGUUGCACCCCAACAAAGAAAGCCUUCGUUAGAGGAUACACUUCAAAGUUUCAUUCAGUCAACCCAACAAGCCUUUCAGUCAAACACUCAAGCUAUUCUAAAGCUUGAACAUCAAUUGGGUCAAUUAGCAACUACUGUAGCAGAAAGAGAAAAAGGAAAAUUUCCAAGUCAACUAAUUCCUAAUCCCAAAGGAGUGAAUGAAGUUGGAUCGAGUUCAAGCCAUCAACAUGAAGAAGCAAAAUCUGUUAUGACCUUGAGAAGAGGAAAAUUAUUUGACAACAAGGUGGAGGUUCAAACAAGAAAGACAUCUGAGCAUACUUCUUCAGAUCUAGUUCCAUCACAAGACUCAUCACCAAAUGAUCUAGAAGAGAGUGGCCCGCCAGCUUACAUUCCCAAGGCUCCUUUUCCUCAAAGGUUAACAAAGGUAAAGAAAGAGACUUCAACAGGUGAGAUUAUGGAAAUCUUCAAGCAGGUAAGUAUAAACAUCCCUUUACUCGAUGCUAUUAAGCAAGUUCCUUCCUAUGCCAAGUUUUUGAAAGAUUUAUGCACUAAAAAAAGAAAUUUGCAUGUCACUAAAAAGGCGUUUUUAACUGAACAAAUUAGCAAUUUACUUCAAUGUAAAAUGCCACCAAAAUUUAAGGAUCCUGGUUCUCCUACUAUCUCAUGUGUUAUAGGGAACCAAUGUUUUGAUAAAGCAUUAUUGGAUUUGGGUGCUAGUGUUAAUCUCUUGCCUUAUUCUGUUUACAUGCAGCUUGGACUUGGUGAGUUAAAGCCAACUUCUAUUAUUUUGCAACUUGCUGAUAGGUCAAUGAAAAUACCUCGUGGUAUUAUAGAGGAUGUGUUGAUACAGAUCGACAAAUUUUAUUAUCCUGUUGAUUUUAUUGUUAUUGAUACUCAGCAUGUACAUGAUCCUAAGAAACACACCCCAGUUAUUCUAGGUCGUCCUUUCUUAGCUACAGCUGAUGCUCAUAUUAGUUGCAGGACUGGAAACAUGCAAUUGUCUUUUGGUAACAUGACCAUGGAAUUAAAUAUUUUUAAUGUUCCCAAGCAGGCACAAGAAGAUGAUGAAGUCGUUGAAGUAGAUAUGAUAGAAGCAUCAAUNNNNNNNNNNNNNNNNNNNNNNNNNNNNNNNNNNNNNNNNNNNNNNNNNNNNNNNNNNNNNNNNNNNNNNNNNNNNNNNNNNNNNNNNNNNNNNNNNNNNNNNNNNNNNNNNNNNNNNNNNNNNNNNNNNNNNNNNNNNNNNNNNNNNNNNNNNNNNNNNNNNNNNNNNNNNNNNNNNNNNNNNNNNNNNNNNNNNNNNNNNNNNNNNNNNNNNNNNNNNNNNNNNNNNNNNNNNNNNNNNNNNNNNNNNNNNNNNNNNNNNNNNNNNNNNNNNNNNNNNNNNNNNNNNNNNNNNNNNNNNNNNNNNNNNNNNNNNNNNNNNNNNNNNNNNNNNNNNNNNNNNNNNNNNNNNNNNNNNNNNNNNNNNNNNNNNNNNNNNNNNNNNNNNNNNNNNNNNNNNNNNNNNNNNNNNNNNNNNNNNNNNNNNNNNNNNNNNNNNNNNNNNNNNNNNNNNNNNNNNNNNNNNNNNNNNNNNNNNNNNNNNNNNNNNNNNNNNNNNNNNNNNNNNNNNNNNNNNNNNNNNNNNNNNNNNNNNNNNNNNNNNNNNNNNNNNNNNNNNNNNNNNNNNNNNNNNNNNNNNNNNNNNNNNNNNNNNNNNNNNNNNNNNNNNNNNNNNNNNNNNNNNNNNNNNNNNNNNNNNNNNNNNNNNNNNNNNNNNNAUGGGAUUUCUUUAAUUCACUUUCUGAAAAUUCUCAACAGUGGGAUUUUUCAAAUCAAAGGGAAAAAUCAUCUCAAGUUUCUAGAAAGGGGUUAUACGAAGUUAAGGAUGACUUUGAUGUGAAAGCCACUCUAACUACACUUUCUAGGAAAGUAGAUGCCUUAGCUCUGAACCAAUCAAUGAAUCAUCAUCCUAGUGUAGCUAAUGAGGUUUGUGCUCUUUGUUCUAACUUGUCUCAUACAGCACAGAAUUGUCCAUCAUUACCAGUCUAUCCAGAGGCUUAUUCUGAGCAGGUACAUGCCUUACAAUCAUAUGAAAUAACCUCCAAUAGUCCAUAUUCAUCCACAUAUAAUCCUAAUUGGAGGAAUCACCCUAAUUUUUCUUGGAAACAAAACCAACCUUUGUCAAACCAAGGAGGGCAACAAUUUAACAUGCCCAAUCAACAAUUUGUCCCUCCUAACCAAGUAUAUCCUCCUGCCCAACAACCUAUGUCUCAAUUUGUUGCACCCCAACAAAGAAAGCCUUCGUUAGAGGAUACACUUCAAAGUUUCAUUCAGUCAACCCAACAAGCCUUUCAGUCAAACACUCAAGCUAUUCUAAAGCUUGAACAUCCUGGUAUUAUCUGUAUAAUUGCUUUGAUUUUCACCAAAUUCUUAUUGAUCCUGGUUGAUUUGUUGUUUACAUUAAUUAGUUAGUUAGUAGGAUUUUUUGUUAAACAUUGUGUUUGUUGCACUUGCAUUACAAAAAUCUAUUAGACAAAUCAAAACCACUUGACCACUUGUCUCUCAUGGUUACAUUGUCAUCUAUGAGUAUUCCAAACUUUUAUUCCCGAGCUAGAUUAUAUUCACACUGGCAGAUUGUAAUGAAUAAAGGGUUAGAAACAUUAAGAAGAAAUAAUACAUAGGAUAUUGUACAUUGUCCAGCUUGUUGUAAACCAAUCAGGUGUAAAUGAGUGUACUUUAUCAAAUAGAAAGUUUACGGUUCUUUGGAUCAUUAUUGUUUAGCCACUCUUGGGAAUUGGCAAGAAUAUGGUAUAAACUAUCAUGAGACAUUUGCUCGAGUGGCUAAAAUGACAAUAGUUUGCACUUUGUUAGGAAUUGCAGGUUCACAAGCAUGGCCUCUUUUUCAAAUCAAUAUAAAAGCUCAAUUCUUGCAAGGAGAUCUAUAAAAAGAAGUCUACAUGAAGCUUUUGCCUGGUGUACUGCUGUACGGCCAAGGCGGAUGUACGGUACAGCAGUGCAAUCGCGAUUACCUGUGAAAGUGGUUUAGUUAGGAUUUACCUUUUUUUUCAUUGUUUUUAUUUUUUUUUUUAUUUUUUUUUAUUUUUAGUUUUAGUUUUGCUCGAGGACUAGCAAAAUCUAAGUUUGGGGGUAUUUGAUGAGCAUAAUUUAUAUACAUAUUUUACCCUUUAUUAUAUAAUUGCUAGUUAAUUUUAUUUAUUAUUUUUAAUUAAUUGAAUUAUUUUAUUAAAUAGGGAGUUAAUUGGAGAUUAUGGAUGAAAAGUACAUAAAGAAUAAUAAAUGGACAGCAUUAAAGAUCAAAUCAAUUUGUGAAAGUAAUUAAGGAGAUGUGCAAGAAAUUCUGUUCGAAGAAAACAAAGCCAAUAAAUUGAAUUCUCCAUGCUCGUGCAAACAAAGAAGAAGGUUAAAGCUAAAGUGGGCAGCACAUAAAACAAAUCUUUUAAUUAAGCCUUUGAAUGGAAAGUCAAAGUAGAAUAAAGGAAGGAAAUCAAUAGCUUUUGGCUUUUAUNNNNNNNNNNNNNNNNNNNNNNNNNNNNNNNNNNNNNNNNNNNNNNNNNNNNNNNNNNNNNNNNNNNNNNNNNNNNNNNNNNNNNNNNNNNNNNNNNNNNNNNNNNNNNNNNNNNNNNNNNNNNNNNNNNNNNNNNNNNNNNNNNNNNNNNNNNNNNNNNNNNNNNNNNNNNNNNNAAACCACAGCAACACACUUUGAACUCAAGCCCUCUGUCAUUCAACUUUUACCAUCUUUCCAUGGGUUAGAGAGAGAGGAUCCAUAUUUGCAUAUUAAGGAAUUUCUUGACAUAUGCUCUACAUUUCGUUUUCAAAAUUUUAAUGAUGAGUCAAUUAGGCUUCGUAUGUUCCCUUUCUCAUUAAAAGACAAAGCGAAAGCUUGGUUGAAUUCACUUCCUGCUGGGUCUAUUACUACAUGGCAUGAAUUGAGUAAUAAAUUCCUCACCAAGUUUUUCCCUAUGUCUAAAACAAAUGCCCUUAGGAGAGAGAUAAGUGAUUUUUAUCAAAGAGAGGGAGAGCAAUUUUAUGAGUGUUGGGAAAGAUUUAAUGAUUUACUCCUUAAGUGCCCCCACCAUGGUUUUGAGAAAUGGAAACUUAUACAAUGCUUUUAUAACGGUUUAACCAUGUCAAAUCGUCAUAUGGUAGAGUCUAUGAAUGGUGGGAGAUUUUUGAACCUACAUGAAGGGGCUGCAUAGGAUUUCUUUAAUUCACUUUCUGAAAAUUCUCAACCUGCUGUACGGCCAAGGCGGAUGUACGGUACAGCAGAGGAGAUGUGCAAGAAAUUCUGUUCGAAGAAAACAAAGCCAAUAAAUUGAAUUCUCCAUGCUCGUGCAAACAAAGAAGAAGGUUAAAGCUAAAGUGGGCAGCACAUAAAACAAAUCUUUUAAUUAAGCCUUUGAAUGGAAAGUCAAAGUAGAAUAAAGGAAGGAAAUCAAUAGCUUUUGGCUUUUAUGUUUUCAAUUACGUGGCAAGCUUUGGGCUUUAGCUUGUAAAAGUUGGUUUAGUUAUUAGAAUCACAAUAGGAUUCGGUGGCCAAGCAAUAUAAAAGGGGAGCUGCAGACGCAAGGCAGAGGAGGGGAGAAAAGGACGAGAGCAGCAGUUCGGCUUCAUGGCUGAUUUUUAUUUUUUUUGUUGCUCCCAAUUCAAGUAUGUCUAGCUAAUUUUCUUUUACUAAGGUUAAGGAUGAAAUCCUAUUUAAUAAAAUAAUUAUCUUUUUAUUUAUUUAAUUCCCUAUAUAUGUUCUUUAAUAAUUAUGGUUUUUAUUUCACAUGAUUAAUUGGAUGUUAUUAAAAUCUUUUCAUCAAUUCUGUCAUGCAUUAUUGAUUGUUAGGAUUAAUAUUCGAUUAAAUCUAUGCUUGGAUCUUUAAAGUUUAUACAUGAUUAUCUUUGAUUUUAUGUCUUUCAUUAAAUUGUUUACAUAGAGUGCUUAGGAAACUUUGACUCUUUGUUAUUCAAUGGAUUAAUUAAUAAUUAGAUAAUUACUAGUUGAAUAGUGGUGGAUUCUGAAACCUUGGUAAUUCUUAUCUUAUUGAAUUCUCCUUUAUUUUAAUUGCUUCCUUAGUUUAAUUGGUUUAAUUUUCUUAAAAACUCAAUUUGCUCAACUAGGUUAGAAUUAAUAUUAAUUUUAGAUUUAAAUUAGACUUUUUAAUUUAUAACAAUCCUUGUGGGAUCGACCUCGUUACCACUAUUCUAUUUCUAGAUUUGUGUGCUUGCGAGUAUAUUAAAAUUUUCACAACAGAGAUCAAACCACAAAAACUGAUAUAAAUUGAAAAGUUUAAUUUAAAUUUAAAUAAUAUUAAUUGUAAACUAGUUGAACAAAUUUAAUUUUAAAGAAAAUUAAACUAAUAAAACUAAUAAAACAAUUAAAACAAAAGAGAUUUUAAUAAAAUAAAGGCUAUCAAUGUUUCAUAAUCUAACAUUAUUCGACUCUUAAUUAUCUAAUUAUUAUUAAUUUCUAGUUUUGGAGUAACAACUCGUAUCAAUCUAUAAUCGAACCAAUCUAUCUCAUCUCAUUAAGCCUAAGUAAUUAAAUCUAAUGUACGUUCUUUUUUGUUUCAAAGUAUAAUUUUUAAGCAUUAUAUAUAUAUAUAUAUAUAUAUAUAUAUCAUAUUGAAAAACGAAAAAUCAAAAUUUCCUAAACAUUUUGUGUAUCUAAUUUAUUGAAAAAUAAAUAAUCAAAGAGAAUCACAUUAGUGAUUAUUUUACCAAACUUAUAUUCAAUCAAAUAAUCUCUUAACUAUCAAGAAUACAUAAUAUUAAAAAUGAAAAGAUAAUUCUCCAAUCAAUCACGUGAAGCAACAACCAUAAUCAUUAAAGAACAUAUAUAGCGAAUGAAUUAUAUAUAAAAAAAAAUUAUUUCAUUGAACAAAGUUUCAUUUUUAAUUUUAGUUUAAAAAAAUUAAUAAGACAUUCUUGAAUUGAGAGUAAUAAAAUUGAUAUAACGAGCCAUGGAAACAAGCUUUGAAGAACUGCUGCUGCAGUGCUCCUCUUCCUCCCUGCCUUACAUAAUCCCCACGACCAUCCAUUAUCGGCGGAAUCCAAUCCUUAUAAUGCCCAUGACCAUCCGCUAUUUGCCGAAUCUAACCAAUUUUGAAAACAAUCUUUCUAAUUGACGCCACAAUCCUCUGCCCGUGUUUUCUGAUCGCAGAAUUGAAAUUCCUUCCAAAUGCAAACAAUCUUUCUAAGCCGUGUUUUCCACGGCUUCUAUUAAUUCUUUAAACGCUUCACCAAAUUAUUAUUUUUCAUGUGCUUUUCAUCCAUUAUCUCUAAUUAAUUUCUCGUUCAAUAUAAUAAUUUAAUUAAUUUAAAUUAAUAAUUAAAAUUAACUAAUAAAUAUAUAAUUAAGGGUGAAAUAAGUAUAUAUUAUAUGCUUGUAUAUAAAUUCCACAUAACUUAAACGAUGAUUUAUGCCCUUAUAAUAUUUUAAAAAUGAAUUGACGAAUUUUACUUAUCUUUUGAACUAAUUUAAAAUUGCAAUUGACUUAACUUAAAUUUUAUUUUCUUAAUUUUUAUCAUUUCUUAUGGGUUCGAUCUUUUCAUCACUAAUUAAUAAUUUAAUAAACUCAUGCACGUGCGAGCUCGACGCAAACAUAAAUACGGACUUGAAGAGUUUAAGGGUGCGUUUGGGAUUGAGGUGCUGUAGCUUUUAAGCUACAGCUGCUGUGAAAAAAAAGCUGUAAUUAUGAAAUAAAAGUUAAUAAUAUAUAGUAAAUAUAAAUUUUAAAUAAUAAUUUUGAUAAAAUUAUUAAAGAUAUAAUAGAUUUUGUAUUAUACAAGUGAAAAAUCAUAUCAAUAUAACUUAAAAGCUACAGUAGUUAGUGUUUACCAAACACUUUAGUGCUGUAGCUUUUAAGCUACAGCUGUCCAACCUCAAUCCCAAACGCACCCUAAGCAAGGCUGUUCGAUGUGACUUGUUCUGGGUACCUGUAGAAAAUACAAGGACAGCACAUGCGCAGCAAACAAAGACGACUAAUAUUGGGGUUUGGCCUUGUCAAAAUAAAUUUGAGGUUAAAUGAUAGAGAUAUAUAUGGGGUCCGGCUGAGUUGGAACCCAUAUAUAUCUUGCUGCUUGUUUGACUAAUGCAUUUUAUUUACAUUAUGGUUAUUAAUUUAUUGUUUUAAAUAUUGAUAAAUAUAAUAAAAGGUUUGUCAACAAAACAAGUUUUUACAAUCUUUUAAACUUCAGUCAGAAUAUAUAUAUUCUCACUCAAGUCUAAAAGAUUGUAGCUUCUCAAAAAAAAAAAAAAAUUGUAGAAACUUGUUUUCUUGACAAAACUUUUAAUAUAUUUAUUAAUAUUUAAAAUAAUAAAAUAAUAGCUGCAAUGUGAAUAAAAUGCAUUAGUCAAACAAGUAGCAAGAAAAAAAUAAUGUUAGAAGACUUGUAUAAGGACAGCACCAACUUGCCCCGCAAGGCCGCAACAAUUAACAACAAAGUUUACUUUUCAAUACACUUUGAAAUUUUGGAUUAAACAAUUAUUUUCUUUCAAUUUGUGGUGGCAAGAUCCUGGUCAAUUCUCGUAAAUUUUUUUAGUUUUUUUUAUAAUAUAUUAAUUAUGACAUAUUUAAUUAAUUUUAUUUAGAACGUGGAAGUCAAAAUUUUUGCAGUCAAAAAAUGUUGAAAACUAGAUGGCUACGUACCUCGCGGAAAAUUAUUAAUUAACCAAAAUGUUGUCUUUCCAAUAUACUUCCAAAUUGUGAUGGCGACGUACAUAUUGGGAUACUAAUAUUAGUCAAGUGAUAAUGUGAUAUGUCCAUCCAGAGAGAAGAAUACAUGUGCAGCCAUCCCAGUCCCACUACUUCAAAUAAUAAAUGGCGUUAUGUUAUGCAGCUAGCAGAGCAGUAAGUUUGAAAACGGAACACAACUUUUAAUUUAAAAUAUUAAAUUAAAUUAUAAUAUUGUCAAGAUGUUCAACUGUUCAUAUAUAUGUCUUUUUUAUUUUAUUUUAUUUUCAGGAAAAAAAGAUCUCAAGCAGAAGUUGAAGCCAAAUCAAUUGCUGUAUCUAGUAGCAGCAUCUCCUAAAUUUUUCUAACUUCUUCUGUGAAUUGGACAAUUUUUUUUUUUUCAAUUGCCGUUGCAGGCAAGGAAAUGAGUGUAAAAAUCUAUAUGUUUUAACAUAUUAUUUAGCAAACAAAAAUUAAUAACUAAAAUUAUAUUAAAGAAUUUAUUUACAACUUGACCUGAUUCCACUUGUUGUAAAUAUAUACAAAAUUUUUAAUAUUUAAUUUUGUUGUUGAUAAUAGUUUUCUUCUUGUUUUCAGUAAAUUAAUUUAAAUGGUUUACUUUAGGAUAUUUUUGACAUGUUAAUGAGUACAAAGUAAAAUUUAAAUUUUUAUAUUUAAUUGAUGAGUGUACAUGGUAAUAGAGUAUUCAAAGUAAUUUUUAGAGUGCAAAUUUACCACUCAUUUAUAAAUUACCCUGGGUUCAUUACGAGUCUUGGAUCUGCCCUUGGUUUAUCAAGCAUAUAUUUACUACGAAUUAAAAAAAUGAUUGAACUUGCAAUAAAAAUUAUCUAGAUCAAAAUACAAAGAUAAAUUUAACUACUUACUCCACAACUAUGAUCAACAAUUCACUUCUACCUCAAUCUUUUUUUAAGAACAAUUCUCUACUUUUAACUAAUAUCACAGUUCUUAAAACACCUAAUUUUAUUCUUUCUGGCGAUUAUAUAUAUAUAUUUUUUACUAACUACUAUAACUACUUCCUCCAUAACUAUUUAGUUUUUUAGAGGUCUAUACUUAGUUUUUAAUUUAAAUAGUAACUCCGUAUUACAAUUUAAAUUUUCUGCUUUGUUUGUUCAAUAAUAAUUCCCGCUAGCACCAACAUGUUUUCUUGAUGCAUGAAAACAAUGUUACUUGUAUUGCACAAAUUAGAAAAAGAUACAUGAAGAGAGAUAUAAGCACAUUUUACUAAAACUCUUUUACACCCAUUGGCUCUAAUAAAGUAAAAAGUGAAUGUCAAAUAGAUACGUUCUACUAAUAAUUAUGCAGAUAUAUAUAUUUAAAAAAUUUUCCCAGCAUCACACUUUUUGAGAGGCUAGUACAUAGGAUUAGCAUGACUUAAUAGAUUAUAAAGUUAUGAAAUUGAUUGAUGAUAUGAAUAAGAAGAGGAAAGAGGAAGACUGUUAUAAAGCUUGGACAGAUUGGAUGGAUGGUUGUUGACUUGUUUCAUAAAAGUUAAUAAUAUAUAGUAAAUAUAAAUUUUAAAUAAUAAUUUUGAUAAAAUUAUUAAAGAUAUAAUAGAUUUUGUAUUAUACAAGUGAAAAAUCAUAUCAAUAUAACUUAAAAGCUACAGUAGUUAGUGUUUACCAAACACUUUAGUGCUGUAGCUUUUAAGCUACAGCUGUCCAACCUCAAUCCCAAACGCACCCUAAGCAAGGCUGUUCGAUGUGACUUGUUCUGGGUACCUGUAGAAAAUACAAGGACAGCACAUGCGCAGCAAACAAAGACGACUAAUAUUGGGGUUUGGCCUUGUCAAAAUAAAUUUGAGGUUAAAUGAUAGAGAUAUAUAUGGGGUCCGGCUGAGUUGGAACCCAUAUAUAUCUUGCUGCUUGUUUGACUAAUGCAUUUUAUUUACAUUAUGGUUAUUAAUUUAUUGUUUUAAAUAUUGAUAAAUAUAAUAAAAGGUUUGUCAACAAAACAAGUUUUUACAAUCUUUUAAACUUCAGUCAGAAUAUAUAUAUUCUCACUCAAGUCUAAAAGAUUGUAGCUUCUCAAAAAAAAAAAAAAAUUGUAGAAACUUGUUUUCUUGACAAAACUUUUAAUAUAUUUAUUAAUAUUUAAAAUAAUAAAAUAAUAGCUGCAAUGUGAAUAAAAUGCAUUAGUCAAACAAGUAGCAAGAAAAAAAUAAUGUUAGAAGACUUGUAUAAGGACAGCACCAACUUGCCCCGCAAGGCCGCAACAAUUAACAACAAAGUUUACUUUUCAAUACACUUUGAAAUUUUGGAUUAAACAAUUAUUUUCUUUCAAUUUGUGGUGGCAAGAUCCUGGUCAAUUCUCGUAAAUUUUUUUAGUUUUUUUUAUAAUAUAUUAAUUAUGACAUAUUUAAUUAAUUUUAUUUAGAACGUGGAAGUCAAAAUUUUUGCAGUCAAAAAAUGUUGAAAACUAGAUGGCUACGUACCUCGCGGAAAAUUAUUAAUUAACCAAAAUGUUGUCUUUCCAAUAUACUUCCAAAUUGUGAUGGCGACGUACAUAUUGGGAUACUAAUAUUAGUCAAGUGAUAAUGUGAUAUGUCCAUCCAGAGAGAAGAAUACAUGUGCAGCCAUCCCAGUCCCACUACUUCAAAUAAUAAAUGGCGUUAUGUUAUGCAGCUAGCAGAGCAGUAAGUUUGAAAACGGAACACAACUUUUAAUUUAAAAUAUUAAAUUAAAUUAUAAUAUUGUCAAGAUGUUCAACUGUUCAUAUAUAUGUCUUUUUUAUUUUAUUUUAUUUUCAGGAAAAAAAGAUCUCAAGCAGAAGUUGAAGCCAAAUCAAUUGCUGUAUCUAGUAGCAGCAUCUCCUAAAUUUUUCUAACUUCUUCUGUGAAUUGGACAAUUUUUUUUUUUUCAAUUGCCGUUGCAGGCAAGGAAAUGAGUGUAAAAAUCUAUAUGUUUUAACAUAUUAUUUAGCAAACAAAAAUUAAUAACUAAAAUUAUAUUAAAGAAUUUAUUUACAACUUGACCUGAUUCCACUUGUUGUAAAUAUAUACAAAAUUUUUAAUAUUUAAUUUUGUUGUUGAUAAUAGUUUUCUUCUUGUUUUCAGUAAAUUAAUUUAAAUGGUUUACUUUAGGAUAUUUUUGACAUGUUAAUGAGUACAAAGUAAAAUUUAAAUUUUUAUAUUUAAUUGAUGAGUGUACAUGGUAAUAGAGUAUUCAAAGUAAUUUUUAGAGUGCAAAUUUACCACUCAUUUAUAAAUUACCCUGGGUUCAUUACGAGUCUUGGAUCUGCCCUUGGUUUAUCAAGCAUAUAUUUACUACGAAUUAAAAAAAUGAUUGAACUUGCAAUAAAAAUUAUCUAGAUCAAAAUACAAAGAUAAAUUUAACUACUUACUCCACAACUAUGAUCAACAAUUCACUUCUACCUCAAUCUUUUUUUAAGAACAAUUCUCUACUUUUAACUAAUAUCACAGUUCUUAAAACACCUAAUUUUAUUCUUUCUGGCGAUUAUAUAUAUAUAUUUUUUACUAACUACUAUAACUACUUCCUCCAUAACUAUUUAGUUUUUUAGAGGUCUAUACUUAGUUUUUAAUUUAAAUAGUAACUCCGUAUUACAAUUUAAAUUUUCUGCUUUGUUUGUUCAAUAAUAAUUCCCGCUAGCACCAACAUGUUUUCUUGAUGCAUGAAAACAAUGUUACUUGUAUUGCACAAAUUAGAAAAAGAUACAUGAAGAGAGAUAUAAGCACAUUUUACUAAAACUCUUUUACACCCAUUGGCUCUAAUAAAGUAAAAAGUGAAUGUCAAAUAGAUACGUUCUACUAAUAAUUAUGCAGAUAUAUAUAUUUAAAAAAUUUUCCCAGCAUCACACUUUUUGAGAGGCUAGUACAUAGGAUUAGCAUGACUUAAUAGAUUAUAAAGUUAUGAAAUUGAUUGAUGAUAUGAAUAAGAAGAGGAAAGAGGAAGACUGUUAUAAAGCUUGGACAGAUUGGAUGGAUGGUUGUUGACUUGUUUCAUGUUUGUGACGUAUAAAAAAAGGCAGAAGCUAAGUUACGUAACUUACACCCUCUCACACCUAACACUGUUGCUGUGAGAGGCGCAAGUUACGUAACUUAGAUCCUCCCAUAAAAGAAAGGUGGGGUGGGGUGAGUCCAUGAUUUGAUAAAAAAUAGAAUUAAUGUUUUUUUAUUUAAUUUAUUCAAAACAUGCAUUAGUUACACGUAAUCCUCACCCUUGAUUAAUGGUUGAGCUAAAUAGAUCAGGAAUUAGCAUAAGAAAUCGUGUAACUUGAAGGAGACAUCAUUUUAUUUAUUUACACACACUGACAUGACCCGCCCUAACCUAUAUGUUGGGUCCAAGCUAAUAUCAUGCGGUCUAGUAAUUAAAAUUCAUGGCACAAACUUAAUUCAUGAAUAUAUAUUUAUAAAAUAUACCCGUUACUAUAAACACAUAAUAAUACUAUGUGCCUUCUAUGAAAAUAUAUAUGUAUUCAAAACUUGCACCUCUCAUUAUUCAUACUUACAUUACAAGUAUAUAUAUAUAAAAAAACAUAAACAACAUAAACGUGCUCAAAAUGCAAGACAUGCAGCAAUGCCUUCGUGGCCCAAACUCAAUUGAAUAGAAUUGAUCUACACGAAAUCUUGCAGAAUCCUGGGAAAAAAGGGAUAAAUAGGAAAAUAAUGAGGUUGCAACUCAGUGAGUAGAUAUAAUUUAUAUAUAUAUAAAAUAAAGUAGUGUGGGAAACCACGUUAUAUACAUACACGACAAAACUGCAAAAGUACAGUGUGAGAAAACCUCUCAAUACCUGGUGAAAUUUAAUUACGUUGCACGAGUAGAGUAACCUAACUCUCAAUACGCAUGCACAGAGUCUACGGGGGAGGGUACAUAUGGUGACUAACAAUCACAUCUCAUGACUCAAUCAUACAUAUAAUAUGCGUACAUAUAAUCAUAACAUGAUAUUAAAACAUAAUUUCAAACAUAAAUAUUUCACGGAAUACAUAAUAGUAUUAGUAAUAUCCACUCACAGAUCAUGUUUGACUCCAGGAUUCGUUAGGGCUCCUAUGGGUUCCUGAAUCCUCGAGUUCCUCUCACUAAUUCAUUGGAUAUUAAUCUAAUUGUUCAAUUUCAUUUCCUGCUGUGACAUUCCCUCUCAAUUCAUCUUUUAAACUUCUUUUCCCACUCUUGGCUUCUUCCUUUAUUUUAUUUAUUUUCUUCUUUUUCUUUUCUUUCCUCUUCUCUUUUUCUCUCGGUUUUCUUCUUUGUCUUGUCUGUCUCACUUCGAAAAAUGAUACAAAAAGAGAACUGCUUUCAAUUCCUUCAAAUUAUAUAUGGCCACCGACUCAAGCACACAAGUGAGGCAUACAGGUGAAGCAAGGAUGUGCCUUGCAUGAAGCUGGUAGCUUCUUGUUGCUUUGAUAAGUAGCCACGUUUGGCUUAUAAAGAAGCGGUGAAGCAUGCACGUGCAUGUCACACACACACACACUCUUCCCUUAAUAGUAGAACUAGAGUGGUUAGUUAAUAGAACUACUUAAAUUAGAACCCUUGAGGUAAAAUUUUAAUGGGACAUUGGUCCUUCCCCUAUUUAUAAGUAACAAAUGUGUUUUUUUUUUUAAAUAGUUUUCUUUUGUAUUGUUCUAACGUGGUUGGUAGCGUAUUCAUAUUUAGCUGGUGUUUUUUUUCUUCUUCUUAAAUCUAAAUAGAUAUGAAUUAGACUAAAAUUCUAAAUAAAGUUAAAUGUAUGAAUCUAACUGACAUUUUUAUUUUUAUUUUGAGUUACUAAAAAUAUGUACUAAGUCAUUUGUUUAACUUAAAAAAAAAUCAACAUUUUUACAUUUGUACCCUUAUAAAUUGAUGCUAAACAAAUAAUAAGCAUCUCAAAUAAUAUAAAUAAGAUAAUAUAUGAUCAUAACAUAAAUUAUGUUCAGUUGAAUAUGAAUCUUUUAUAUUUUAGAUUAGUAUAUGUCAAUCAAUUUUAUUGUAGUUUAUGAUUUUUUAUUUGAAAAAUAUUCAUAAAAAAUAUAAAGAUAAAUAAUGCUCGUUUGAAGAAAAGAAAAAAAAGUAAUAGUCUAUUGUUAUAUUAUCAUAAGUUAUAGAGAUGGGUAAUAAUGUUAAUUAGCAAAUUUUAUUUAGGUAAGGAUGAAAAUUAAUUAAUCAGAUGGGGAUAUUUUGAGAAUAUAUACUAAUGAUGUCAUUCACACUUUUUACAUUAAGCAAAAAUACUAAAAAAUAGCUUAAUAACCAUGACUAAAGUUAGAAAGUGAAAAGGACUUAUUUAAUUAAGUCAAUUAAAUCAUAAAGUCAGAAAAAAAAACCAUUAGCCAUUUACCUUUUUAUUCUUAAAUGUACUCUCCAUCAUUUGUGUAUAUAUAUUGGUUGAUACCUUUGGCUCCCUUCAUCAGUUCUGUAAAAAAAAAAAAAAAAAAAUGAAUCCUCACGGCUUGUUCUGCCCAAAUAUUCUCUCAUUUAUUUUUGUAAUUUUGUUAUCGUUUCAUGGGGAGGCUUUGGCAGCUGAAAAUCAUGAAAAUUUUCUCAAGUGUCUUUCUCUACAAUCUAACACCAUUUCGAAAGUGAUUUACACCCAAAACAACUCUUCAUAUUCAUCAGUAUUAAAGGCUUCAAUAAAAAAUCUCAUUUUCUCAACCCCCACAAACCCGAAACCUGUAUUCGUCAUCACCCCAUUUCAUGUGUCCGAAAUUCAAGCAGCCGUUAAAUGCUCCAAAAAAAAUGGUCUGCAAAUUAGAGUGCGAAGUGGAGGUCAUGAUCAUGAGGGUCUUUCCUCUAUUUCUGACGUUCCUUUCAUCAUCAUUGAUUUGAUAAAUUUCAUUGAGAUCAGUGUUGAUGUAGAAGAAAAAACAGCAUGGGUUGAAUCUGGUGCUACCAUCGGGCAACUUAAUUAUAGAAUUGCUGAGAAGAGCCAGAAUCUGCUAACCUUUCCGGUAGGAACUUGCCCUGGUGUGGGCGUUGGUGGACAUUUUAGUGGGGGCGGCUACGGUGUCCUGUUGCGUAAGUACGGGAUGGCUGCUGACCACAUAGUUGAUGCUCACAUGGUUGACGUCAAAGGUGAGAAAUUUUAAAGAACAAAUACAGAGAAAAUAGCUUCUCAAAAAAAAAUAAAAAAUAAAAGUUACAGAGAAAAUAGCAAUAAUAAGAUUCAGAGUAGGUUUAAUAGGUGAGUUUAUACAGGUGACAGAAUUUGAAGGUUUUUAUUACCAUUUCUCAAACUAUGGAGAGUGGCGACUUGCUAUAAUCAGUAUAAUUUGAGAAUGAAUGACAAACAAAAAUUAAUCAAUCAAUUAUUUUUCUAUCCAGAAUUUAGGAAAAAAAAUAUUAGGAGUGGAUAAAACUCAGAUCAAUUUUUCUAUAAUAUACCUCGGCCAAGUCUCUGGGGCUCAUUCAAACGGGGGCGGAUUUACUAUAGGACACUGGAAAAAAAAAUCUUUAAUAAUUUAUUUAGUUUUCCUAAAAUUCUCAAUAAAUUUUUUUGAAGCACCCACUAAUUUAUAGUCAAGCCUGCAAUAUAUGUUACACUUAAAUUCUCAUACGCCAAAUUUUUAAAUUUAAAUAAAAAAUAUGGGCUUUGCAAACUAAAAUCAAACCCAUAAAUAUUAAUAUUAAUUUAAUUUUUAGACGGGCCACAAACUCAUUAAUAAUUUUUUUAUUAAUCUUACUUUUUUCAAUUCCACCACUAAUCCAGGGCCCAUAAAAAAUUCCUAACAUCUUUUUAUUUUUGUUGUUUACAUAGAAAAAGACUUAUUUAAUAACAUUGAUAACAAAGUUGUAAUACAAUGUAUCAAUAUAUGAAUACUAGUAAAAGACAAUUGUAAAUAUAUAUUGUAGUAUUAUAAAUCUUUUAAAUUUAUAUCUUUAUUACUUUUUAAAUUUUUUUAUAUUAUCUUUGAAUAAGCCCUCAGUGAAUCACUAUGCUGUCUGCGCCCCUAUGCUGUCUGCGCCCCUGUUCAAUUAUAUGUCGAUUUGUCUGCAUUUUCCAUCUUUGUUUCGCUUCUUUUCAGGUAGAUUUCUAAAUAGAGAAUCAAUGGGAGAAGAUCUAUUUUGGGCCAUUCGCGGAGGCGGAGGAGCUAGCUUUGGAAUCAUUGUUUCGUGGAAAAUAAAUCUAGUUGCUGUUCCACCAACUGUGACGGUAUUCAACGUCCCGAGAACCUUAGAACAAAAUGCAACAAAACUACUUUUCAAAUGGCAGUGCAUUGCAGACAAGGUUCAUGAAGAUUUAUUCAUCUCACCCUUCUUAUUACGAGUGAAUUCCACUAUGGUCUCCGUAUUCUCGGCCUUGUUUCUUGGUGGGGUUGAUAGGCUGCUUCCAUUGAUGCAGGACAGUUUUCCUGAGCUCGGUUUGACCAGAAAAGACUGUAGAGAAAUGACUUUUGUUGAAUCUAUCGUCUAUCUUGAUGGAUAUGAGGUUGAAGAGCCGAUUAAUGUGGAUGUAUUGCUUGGUAGGGAUUUUCACGUUAGGUUUUUCAGAGGAAAAGUAGACUAUUUAACAGAACCAAUUCCCGAAGAAGCUUUCCAAGGAAUUUACGAUAUAUUUUUGGAACAGGAUCAGGAAACUAACGGCCUUCUAAUGUUUUUUCCUUAUGGUGGGAAGAUAAGUGAGAUUUCAGAGUCCGAAAUUCCGUACCCACAUAGAGCUGGCAACAUAUACACACUUUUAUACUAUGCGGGUUGGGAUCUAGAAUCAACUGAUGACACAUAUCAAAGGCAUGACAAUAUGCUCAAAAAGUUGUUCAAUUAUAUGACUCCCUAUGUUGCCAAAAAUCCUAGAACAGCGUAUAUUAAUUACAGGGAUCUUGACGUCGGAACAAAUAACAAAUUAGGCCACACAAGCGUCCAGGAAGCCAGUGUUUGGGGAAAAAAGUAUUUCAAAAAUAAUUUCUACAGGCUGGUGCAUGUGAAAACUAUGGUGGAUCCUGAAAAUUUCUUCAGAAAUGAACAAAGCAUUCCCCCUUUCAACUUGGUGAAAGAUGAACUGUGAGCAAGUCCAAAGCUGCCCUUGCUAGUUAAUAAACGUAGUGCGUGAUUAUUGUAUUGCUAAAUAAUUUCCGCUUUAUAUUUCUUUCAUGUUUUUGUUGUAAGGAGCUCAUGAGUAGGUGUGUCUUGUCUUUUUAUCUUUUUGAUUAAUAAAGAUUUGCUCGCACCGUGCAGAUUCGCUUGAAGAAAUUAAUAUUUUCAAUCAUAAGCCCUAACUUCACGGACUGACGUAAUAGCAACUAAAUAUGAAUAGCUUUGGGGAAAAUAAUUCUUUCGGUACUUUAUUCAAACAUCCAUUAGGUUUUUUAUAAAAGCCAAUAGUAGUACACGAUUCACAUUACUAGCUACUUAUAAGCAAAAACAGAUACAUACAAAGCAAUAAUACAUGGAAUGCGGAAAUAAUGGGGAAGAUUAUUCACAUUACUAGUCAAAACUAAGUCCAGGCAUGAUCCUAGUACGCGGAAAGCUUUGUUGGCUGUUGCUGUUAUCUGGACGUAUAUCAUGUAUAUCGUUGAAUUCUGAGCUUAAAACUAGGUUCAAGAUAAAGUAUUGCUUUGUCGGUUUGGGUAAUGAGUUUUGUAUGUCUUGUCAACUCUGUUCUAAGCGACAUGUCAGCGGAAUAAAAAGUGGAGCAGACGACAGCCACAUUGUGUCAGCCAAACUUCGUAAGUAAAGCAUGCGUUUGUCACGUGUGUUUACUUAUAAGUUUUAGCUUUAAACGACAGGCUAUAAAAUAAUUUUAGAAGAUGUCUAAUUUUGGUAAAAUAAUUUUGCAAUUUAUAUUCUUCACUGGAAAUAGAAUUUUCUAAGCUUGCAGGCUUGCAUUUGAAAAAAUCAUAAGAAGUUAAAUUUUUAUCCGAUUGGAUUGAAAUAUGUUUCAAAACAUUUUUGAAGAUGUCUGGUUCAACAUAUACAAAAUUAGAAUCAAAAUAAAUUUGACUAAUUACUAUAUUUUUUGAAACAACACAUCGUCAGCAAAGUUUCUUGCAAAAUAUUAUAUUUUUACUUCUACAAUUAUUAUCUAAACAUGCUUCUCUAUGACAAGUACCGAAAAUCAAGAAUCAAAAUUUGCCUAAAUCUUCCCUCUCAGCACAAAACCUAGUUCAAUUGACACAACUUUGAUCUCAUGACUCACCCUUACUUUUACUUAUGGCUGCACAUAGGAAACGAAUUUUGCUUCUUCACCUGUCUUUCUUCUUUCUCUCUUCUCUCGUCUUUUCUUUUUCUUUCUUUUUACCAAUCUCUCUUUCUCUUAUAAUGGAGAGAGCACAUAUAUGCACUUACAUAUUAAUGGAUAAGAAAAGACUAAAUUACCCUUAAUAUAAUGAAAUGACUAAAACAACCUAGAAUAAUUAGGGGUAUUACAAUAGGUCUACAACCUAGAAUAAUUAGGGGUAUUACAAUAGGUCUAUGUGGCCAUCUAAGUAAUCCUUGGAAGUAUGGGUAACUUUAUACCAAAAUUAAAGAUAAAAAGAUGAGACUAUACAUUUGUAAACAGUACUUGCUAUUGUGUCUUUCACGUUGAGUUAAUUUUAUCAAACAGUCUUUUCGUUGUUUGAUACAAAAAUUACGACGCCUUACUAGUUUUAUCUUAAUAAUUUUAUCAAAAUAUUACUUAAAAGUCAAAUUUACUAAAGACAAUCAAAAUUUAUUCCAAAGCCAUUAACUCAUAUAAUUUAAUAGCGUAAUGACCGGAAAAACUUGUAAGCCACAUGGUUUAAUAGAGUAAUGCAUAUAGUUUAAUAGUAUAAUGACUGAAAAACCUAUUGAGUCAUGUGUUUUAAUAGUGUAAUGUUAUUAAACUAUUAAAUCAUAUGGCUUUAAAAUUUUUCUGGACUUUAAUAAAGUCCAAGAUCUUGGACUAGAUUAGUAAUAUAUAUAUAUAUAUGAUCUUGGACUUCAUUAAAAUUUGAGAAAGCUAUUGAUCCAUAUGAUUUAAUAAUAUAGUGACAUUAACAAAAUUUAAAAUCCUUGACUAGAUGAGUACUCUCUCUCUCUAUAUAAAAUUUUCCAACGAAGGAUAUGGCAAGUCUUAAAGCUUGAUCUUAGCCGCAACUCCCUUUCAGGCGAAGUUCCACCAGAAAUUGGAAACUGUAACCAUCUCACUUACCUUGAAAUGAGCCAAAACAAACUCUCUAGUUCAAUCACACCUGAAAUUUCCAAUGUCAGAAUCCUCGAUUACUUGAAUUUAUCAAGAAACCACUUGAACCAAAACGUACCCAAAUCAAUAGAAUGCAUGAACAGCCUCACCAUUGCUGAUUUUUCAUUUAAUGAUUUCUUCGGUAAGCCUCGUCUUUUGCUGAAUGCCUCGUCUUUUGCUGGCAACCCUGAAAUCUGUGGCACUCUCCUUAACAAUUUGCAACUUGACACCAACCGCUCACCAGCCAGGAAAAGCCCCCCGGGGAUUUCAAGCUGAUUUUUGCAUUAGGCCUUCUGAUAUGCUCACUGAGUUUCGCUACUGCUGCCAUAAUCAAGGCCAGAUCAUUCAAGAAAACGGGUUCGGAUUCCUGGAAAAUGACAGUAUUCCGGGAGCUGGAGUUCUCAGUUAGUGAUAUCAUGGAAUGUGUCAAGGAUGGCAAUGUUGUAGGCAGAGGAGGAGCUGGGAUUGUGUAUCCUGGAAAAAUGCCAAAGGGGGUCGAAAUUGCUUGAAAAAACUGCUCGAUUUCGGCACACACAGCCAUGAUCAUGUCUUCAAAUCUGAGAUUCAAACACUAGGCAACAUCAGGCACAGGAACAUGGUCAGGUUACUAGCAUUUUGCUCCAACAAAGAAACCAGUCUGCUUGUUUAUGAGUACAUGAGAAAUGGGAGCUUGGGGAAAGUAUUGCAUGGCAAAAAAGGGGAGCUUCUUGGGUGGAAUUUGAGGUACAAAAUCGCCAUUGAAGCAGCUAAAGGCCUAUGCUACUUUCACCAUGAUUGCUAACCUUUGAUUGCUCGUAGUGAUGUGAAAUCAAACAACAUUUUGCUAAAUUCAGCCUUUGAAGCUCACAUCGCCGACUUCGGCCUCGCCAAAUUCUUGAUCGACGGCUGUGCAUCGGAAUGUAUGUCAGCAAUUGCAGGGUCGUAUGCACCAGGUAUUUACAUUUUACUUUCGUGCUGUUGGAUUAUUAUUAUUAUUAUUAUUAUUACUAUUUUAUGUUUGCAUUUUUCAAACUUCGGCGAUGGUGUUGACAUUGUACAAUGGAGGAAAAGAGCAACGAAUGAGAGGAAAGAAGAAUUUUUGAGCAUUCUUGAUCCAAGUUUAACGAUGGUACCAAAAUAAGAAGCAAUGCACUUACUUUUCAUUGCAAUGCUAUGCAUUCAAGAAAAUGGAAUUGAGAGACCAACAAUGAGAGAAGUUGUUCAAAUGCGAUCCCAACUCCCUCGUCAUUCCCCCGAAUUUAACCAAUCUUCAUCUUUUUCAUUGAAGGAUCUCGAAAAAGAUCAAUAGGGUUGCCCUAAUAAUAAAUUGAAACAAGAUCUAUUUUUUCGUUUUUUAGGGCUUUAAUUUAUUGGUGUUUUUUUUUUUUUUUAAGUUAGCUUGAUUUUGUUACAGUCCUUUUAUGUUCAAAGUUUAUCUUCUUUUAUUUUAUGUUUUUCCUCUUUUGGGCUUCGAUUAGCAGGGAGAGAGACGAUUUGGUGAGUGGUGACAAAGAGAAGUAUUGAUAAUUUAUAGGUACUUGCAUGCUCUUUGUAUUAUAUUAGGGUGUUAACAUACAUGAUAUUUAUAUUUCAUUGCUUUAUGCAAUCUCUCUUUUAUUUUUUAUUUUUUAUUUUUAUUUCUCGAUGAAUAUUAAUUUUAAGUGAUAUUAACAUAAGAAAAUAAUUUUUAUUUUUAACAAUAUGAAAAUAGCACUAUAAGCAAUGUGUGAGAACAAUUAAAUUUGAUUUUUUAAAUAUUUGAGAGAUCUUGCUUCCUUUUUAAAUUAUGAUUUUUAAAAUAAAUAUAAAGAUAAAAAAUAAUAACUUAUUGGGCCAUGAAAGUAGGAAGGUCCAGCCCACAUCCUAAUUGUAGGGCUUUGGACUUGGAAUAAAGUGGUGGAAUUAAAAAAAAAAAGGAGAUUCUUUAAUCACUGUCAAACAGUGAAGUCAAAUGGUCAGAUUCUAAAAUUUAUGACAAAUAAUUCUGUUGAGAUUUUCUAGUUAAUGUGGAUUUUUGUUACCUCCAACGCUACGCUAGCAUUCUAAUAUCUUUGUAAGAAUAUUUCUGUGGUGACCAACAAAGUGUUGGCCCCAUUGGUAAUGGAGUCCCCUUAAGUGGCUUGACUGGGUUUGCUCCCCAGUUCGAGUCGCAAGGAAGUCGCAUUUGUUGGGAGAACCUGUGCCUCCUGGUUCGAGCGGGGACUUCUAGUCUGGGUUGUGGUACAGGCUUAAAGGUGCCUCCCACAGUUGGGGCCCUCCCCAGGAUACCUCGUGAUUAAUAUCAAAAAAAAAAAAGAAUAUUUCUGUGGUGACAAAGAUUUUGUUAAAGCGAACACUUAAACAAAAUCAUCUUUUAUCCAAUUGCACUAUUUUGACAGACUUAUAAAUUAACCCUACCAGACAUUACAUAGAAUAGAUAAAUCAGUAAAAUGCAUGCUUUUCUGGAUUCUUACUUGUAUGGUUUUAUCUAUACCUUAAAAAUGAACUUAAUCAAUGCAAAGCUAUGAAUAUUUAGUUCCCAAAAUUUUCAAUUCUGCUGUUCAAUCUAAAUGUGGGAGCAGUAGUAAAGUCACUAUAGGACUAGCUGGGGUACGCCCCCGACUGACUUCAAAAAAAUUUUGAAGAAAAUUUUAAGUUAAAUCUUAUUUUCUUUGAAUCUAUGAAAGUGCCUCAUCUGUGUUUUAAAAUUAUAAAAAUAUCCUUAUUAAUCAUGUAAACUUUAAUACUUCCUCUAAUUCAAAAAUUGAAUUUAGGGAAAAUAUCCACCGUCCACUCGUUUUUUACACCUUUUUCAAAAAUACAUAAUUCCUUCAUUUUUUUGCUGGAAUCCACCUAAAGUUACAUUUUGUUUCACUUUUCCACUUCCGUUUGGAAUCCGUUAAGAAAACUAACGGAAACUUAAAAAAAUGACCAUUUUACCCCCAAAACGAAAAUUAAUGAGAGGAUAAAAGAAAUUGUAAUUUUUAAUUUUUAAUCUAAUUAUUUUUAAGGUGAAAUUGUAAUUUUUAAUUUUUAAUCUAAUCAUAAAAGAAAUUAAAAUUUAAUUUAAUUAUUUUUGGUAAUUUUUAAGGUGAAAUUGUAAUUUUUGUUUUACCCCUAAAACGAAAAUUAAUGAGAGGAUAAAAGAAAUUGUAAUUUUUAAUUUUUAAUCUAAUUAUUUUUAAGGUGAAAUUGUAAUUUUUAAUUUUUAAUCUAAUCAUAAAAGAAAUUAAAAUUUAAUCUAAUUAUUUUUGGUAAUUUUUAAGGUGAAAUUGUAAUUUUCGUUUUGGGGGUAAAAUGGUCAUUUUUUUAAGUUUCCGUUAGUUUUCUUAACGGAUUCCAAACGGAAGUGGAAAAGUGAAACAAAAUGUAACUUUAGGUGGAUUCCAGCAAAAAAAUGAAGGAAUUAUGUAUUUUUGAAAAAGGUGUAAAAAACGAGUGGACGGUGGAUAUUUUCCCUUGAAUUUAUUUAUUCAUAACUAGAGAUGGUUAUUGGGCCAAUCAUACCAAUUAUUAAAACUAAAUUUGAUACCCAAACAGUCCAUGGCAUAACAUACGUGGGCCAUGGGUCACGUUGGCCUAUCGUGCAACCUAGGCCAUCCCAUAAGCCUCACUAUAUAUAUAUAUAUAUCAUGAUUCUUUUGAACCAUAUCAAGUUAUCUACUAAGUUCAAGUGCUCAACAACAAUAAUAAAUAAUAAUAUUUGAUAAAUGAUAAAUAAUAAUAAAAUAUAAAUUACAAGAUUUUUAAAAAAAUUCUAUUAGCUAAACACACAUAUUACAUAAAACAUUAAGAGUCGAACCUAAAAUCUAAGUCUUCAGAAAGUUGCCUACUAAUUAGUGAAGUUAUGCCUAGAUUUCAACUUUGAACGGCUUAUGAGUUAAGUACUUAACAACUUAAGCUUAAAAUAAAAACAACAAGUAAAUAUGUUUCUUCCCAAUAUAUUUAUUUUAUUUGUAAUUUGUAGGUUUUCAUUUCAUAAAAAUAAAUUUUUUUAUUUGUCUCUCAAAUAAUGUUAUUUUUAAAUUAAUUAAGUAACAUUUCUAUUUAUUAUUUAAAAAUGAAAUUAUAAACAACAAUUCAAAUCAUUCAAUUAAAUUUAAAUUAAUUAUUUAAUAGAUUCAUCAAUGUAAAAUUAAAAAUUUAGAAAACAAAGUUUGAAAAUUUAAAUUUGAAAUAAAAUAAGAAAUUUAGAAAAAAAAUUUGAAAAAAUUGGAGUGGGCUCAUGGGCCUAUAACGAGCCUGUGCUUUAACGUACUGGGCCUAAGCAAGGCCCGUGCCAUGCCUAAGCAUGGCAUUACCCAUGGGCCAAAAAUGAUGGCCUGGCAUGGCCAAUUAAUGGGUCUUGCUCUCUCAUAGUGCUGUACGAACAUGAGACGUGUUGUGCCCAUGGAGCCAUUGGUCCACUGCUCAUUAGCCAUCUCCGUCCCUAGUUUAAAAAAUGAAUUCUUUGUGUAGUAAUAAAUCAAUGACUAUUAUAGUUAUUGUUAUAUAUUGUUAUUUGAAAUUUUUGAAAUUAUAUUGUAUCUUUUUUUAAGGUUUGAAUAGUAAUGAGAAAUCUCACUCAUUAAGUACUAAUUCUUACACUAUAUUAUUCACUCAAAUGACUGCAAGUAAAAAAUAUAUUAAUGGUCAGCUGAGCCACACUUAGAAAUUCAAAUUGUAUUAUAGGUUGAACAUAUCUCAGUUGAAAAAUAUUUUUUACUAUAUCCUUAUAUGUCAUUGUUAUUUAUUUAGAUGUACUUGAAACUGUAGUUUUAGAAAAUAAAACGGAGCAAAAAAAGGAACAUUUUAACUAUCCUCCAAAGUCAGUAAUCAUCUUGAUUACAAACCAUUCAAGAGCCUUUCAAUAAAGAACAUGAAACACUGUGAUAAUAAAAAGUUAUUAAAUUAUAACAUCUAAUCAUAUACAUAUUUGAUUGGAGAAACAAAAUAGAAAAAGAUCAACAUGUAAAAUGUUUCCCUCUCAUUUCAUAAAAUACUCACGAGUUCUUGAGAUUGAAUCUGUAUAGCCUAUAGGUAAUAUUGUUGAUCUUUUUAAGAACUAUAGUCACAUUAUCUACUUACACCAAUAACUCCUUGUUACCCCAAAAAAACCAUUAACCCUUGAUAAAAGGAAAAAGAAAACUAUUUAGUUAAUAACAAUGGAGUCCUUUUUGUUCGUUAAAAAUCAGACAAGUUAAAGAUUUCACGUUUUGACAUAUGUUUGUCUCUGUUUCCUUCCUCUCUCCUUCAGCCCUUCUCUACGUUCGUCUCUUUCAUUUAUUUAUUUAUUUAACUUCCUCCAAUUCCUUCUUGCUUUCUUCAUCUGCUCAAAUAAAUCGAUAGCUGUCAAAAGGAGAUCUCUCUACAAUUGCUGACUGAAGUUAAUGAUUUCAAUAUAUCUCGUACACACACAUAAAUACGCACUCUCUCUCUUAAAUCUUGCAUGAUGAAAAUUGGAACAUUUUUUUGUGGGUAUUGGCUAAAGUUGGCCAUUAAACCAAUUGGCUGUGACCAUUUCUAUGUAUUAUAUGUAUGUAUGCACAGCUGAUCUGCUUCAAUAACUUCUCCUUCUUCUCAAAUCAAUUAAAUUAAUGGUUGUUUGAUGAUGUUUUCUGAUGUUGUAUCAGCUUGAAAAAGUAUGUUUUAUGGUUGUGCAAAUUCAAUUGGUUGAUUUUCUACAAACCUAUCUUAUUAUCUUAAAAAAUUUGAAGACAAAUUAUCUAUGAAAAUCUAAUUACAAAGGAGAAUGUUGAAUCUGGUUCGUUAGCUAUGCUUUGAUCAAGAACCAGAUCCUCCCAAGAUUCUCAGCCAAGAUUAAUCAGGAUGCAAUAUCAGCUUAGAUCAACUUCAGAGAAUCAACUAAACCCAAUAAGACUCGUAACAAAAAGGAUUAAUUACAACCUUAGAAACCAAAACCAGCAAGAAAAUCAAUCACACAAAACAGAGCACAAGCUUUAACGUGGUUCAGCCAUUAAUGGCUUACAUCCACGAGUGAAUUCCUCAGACAGCUUUAUUGAAUGAUUCAAGAAGUUUUGUUACAGAGAUUCUAAGAACAAGAACAAGUAAGACACUUCCUCUCAGACUUCCCUCAAUCUCUAUCACGCACGAUGAUCUCCAAACCAGAAGGCUGCAGCUUAUAUACCAGUCUUGUAACAGCUCUAACAACCCAGAUUGCACAGCUCCUUGACACGUGUACUAUGAGUCUGUUAUUUAACGAACUCAGCUUCAGCUAACUAUCACGUGAAGAACCCGUGACUCCACUUAAGUUGAGCAUAUCCAAAACGCACUCAUGUGUUGCCGUUUCGAAACAAAGGAUUGGCUGUGCUUCUCACGUGAUCACUUAAAGCUUCUGAACACUACUGGAAACGCUGUCGUUUGCUGGCAAAGGUGUUUGAAUUCACCUUUCAGCCAACAAUACUCCACCUUGAAUCAAACACCCUGCAACUGAUACAUUCACCAACUGAUUCAUAUCAAGUUUUGCAGAUACCAACUAAGUCCAAACAUUUUUUGAACUUAGUUGCAGGAACCACCUUCGUGAGCAUGUCAGAGGGGUUGUCAUCAGUAUGUAUUUUAACCAUCUUGAUAACUCCCCUGGAGACUUCAUUUCUUAUGAAGUGAAGUUUAAUAUCAAUAUGUUUGGUCUUCUCAUGGUGAGCUGGAUUCUUACACAAAUGCAGUGCACUGGAGCUGUCACAGAAAAUUGGUACAGAUUCUUGUUUUAAACCGAGCUCAGUGAUUAAGCCCUUGAGCCAAAUGGCCUCCUUUGCAGCUUCAGUGGCAGCUGUAAAUUCUGCUUCUGUUGUGGAAAGUGCCACUACAUGCUGCAAGUUUGCCUUCCAAUUAAUCAGGCAGCCAUUUAACAUAAACAAGUAUCCUGUGAGUGAUCUUCUUCUGUCCAGAUCUCCUGCAUAGUCAGAAUCUACAUAGCCCCACAACAUUUCUUCUGUUCCAGAGUUCUUUCCAUAUACCAGACCAACAUUCAAAGUACCCUUUAGAUACCUUAGUAUCCAUUUCACCCCUUUCCAGUGUUCUUUGCCUGGAGAUGCCAUGUAUCUGCUGACAACACUCACAGCAUGUGAGAUGUCAGGCCUAGUCAGCACCAUGGCAUACAUAAGGCAUCCUACUGCCUUUGCAUAUGGAAUAUUGGCCAUCUCAAGUCUUUCUUCUUCAGACUUUGGACAAUAUAGGUUGCAAAGUUUGAAGUGUGCUGCUAAGGGGCCUUGUACAGGUUUAGAAUCCUCCAUAUCAAAGGUUUCCAGUAUUUUCUUCAAGUAUUUCUCUUGAGAUAAAAAUACCAGUCCUUCACUUCUGUUCCUUCUUAUAUCAACUCCUAAUAUCCUUUUAGCACUUCCUAAAUCCUUCAUGUCAAAUGCAGUGCCAAGCAAUGUCUUCAAAGCAUCUAUUUCAGAUCUUUCUUCACAAGCAAUCAACAUAUCAUCUACAUAUAGCAGUAGAUAGAUAUGUUUCUCAUGACUUAGCUGUUUAAGGUAGACACAGCAAUCAUAAUUGCACCUCUGAAAUCCAUGAGUGGUUAUAAACUCAUCGAAUUUGAGGUACCAUUGCCUAGGAGAUUGCUUCAGGCCAUAGAGGGAUUUCUUUAGCAAGCAUACACAGUCUCUUCCGUCAGGAGCUUCAUAUCCUUCUGGUUGACUCAUGAAAAUUUCUUCCUGAAGAUUUCCAUGCAAAAAAGCAGUCUUAACAUCAAGCUGUUCCAGCUCCAGAUUCUGUGUUGCUGUUAUAGCCAUCAGUACUCUUAUGGAAGCAUGCCUUACUACAGGGGAGAAAACUUCCUUAAAAUCAACACCCUCCAUCUGAGUGUACCCCUUUGCAACUAACCUAGCCUUAAACCUCCUUGGUUCAGCUGCAGUCAUACCCUCUUUGAUUCUGUAUAUACACUUGCAACCAACAAUCCUCCUAUUCUUAGGUCUUUUAACCAGUUCCCAGGUACAAUUCUUGUACAGUGAGGUCAUUUCUUCAUCCAUAGAUUUCUUCCAUUCUUUUGCAUACUGACAGUUAAUGGCUUCUUUGAAAUUCUGUGGUUCUUCAGCAUUUAUCUCAUGAGCAGAAUGUAAUGCAAAAGCAAUCAGAUCAGCAUAGCCAUACCUCUUAGGUGCUUUGCUUUGUCUCUUCUGUCUAUCUCUUGUCAACUGAUAAUCCAUUACUUGUGAUUGAGUUGAUCCAGCUUCUUGAAGUGACUCCUGUCUUCCAAUAUCAUCAGCACUUUCAGCUGAUUCUGUAUCAUCAUUCUGAUUCAGGUUGCCAGGUGACUCCACCUCAAAAUGUUCCUCAUGAACUUGAUCAGCUCUCACACUGUUUCUUUGAAUACUAUCCACUGCUGCUUCUUCAUUGAACUUGACAUCUCUGCUUACUAUGCACCUGGGUGGAGAGAGAUCAGUACACCAAAGCUUAUAUCCUUUGGUUCCCUCUGGAUACCCAAUGAACACACAUUUCAGUGCUCUGGGUGCUAGUUUUCCUUGGCUUAUGUGAGCAUAACUCAGACAACCAAACACCUUAAGGUCUUUAUAACUGGCUUGUUUACCAUACCAAAGCUCAAAAGGUGUCUUGAAUUCAAUGGCAGUGGAGGGGCUCAAAUUCACCAGGUAGCAAGCUGUGUUGAGAAUCUCAGCCCACAAAUUCUUAGGUAGCUUGGCUUGAAUCAUCAUGCACCUCACCUUAUCCAUGAGAGUCCUAUUCAUCCUCUCAGCUAAGCCAUUCUGCUGAGGUGUCAUUUUUACAGUUUUAUGCCUUGCAAUACCUUCCUUUGCACAAAAUUCAUCAAACACCUGGUUGCAAAACUCCAAUCCAUUAUCAGUCCUCAAUUUUUUCACUGUUUUUCCAGUCUGUUUUUCAACCAAGACCUUCUAGUUCUUGAAUUUUUCAAACACCUGUUCUUUAUUCUUAAGCACAUAAAUCCAGACUCUUCUUGAAAAAUCAUCAAUUAUAGACAAAAAAUAUCUUGCUCCUCCCAGUGAUGCUACUUGUGCAGGUCCCCACAAGUCUGAGUGUAUGUAAUCCAGAAUGCUUCUAGUAGUGUGAACUGAUGACUUGAAACUGGUUCUUGUAGAUUUCCCUAGGACACAAUCUUCACAAAACACCAUCUCACCAAUUGUAUCACUGCCUAACAGCCCCUGUUUUGACAACUCUUUAAGGCCUCUCAGACUCAUAUGUCCAAGCCUUAAGUGCCAUAGCCUAGUUUUGUCAACACUAGAGCUAGAUGACACUGACACCAUCCCUGUCACAGUUGUCCCUUCUAACACAUAGAGACCAUUCUUCCUGAUUCCUUUUAACAGAACCAGUGACCCCUUUACAACACUCAUUAUACCCUGCUGGACCUUAACAACACAACCUAUCUGAUCCAACAUCCCCAGUGAGAUCAAAUUCCUUUUUAAAUCAGGUACAUGCCUCACUUGUUUGAGUUCAAGAAUUGAGUUAUCAUGCAAUUUCAGUUUAAUAACCCCAAUCCCUAUAACUCUACAGAUUGCAUUAUUCCCCAUCAUCACCCUACCACCAUCAUAUUCUUGAUACUCAGAGAAAUGAUGUUUAAAAGGGCACAUAUGAAAAGAACACCCUGAGUCAAGCACCCACUUACCUUCCUGAUCAACAUCAGAGGCAAUUAGGACUCCAGCUGACUCAUAACCUUCUUCUUCAACUACUGCUGCAUCACCAUUUUCACUUCUUUGCUCUUUGUGCUGUUUGUUCUUCCUUUCUGGACAAUCUCUCUUAAAGUGACCUUCCUUAUGGCACUGGAAGCACUUAAGAGUCUUGUUCUUGUCUUUGGCCUUCCCUUGCUUCUUUUUCUGGUUCUUGUAAUGUUGACCCUUUGCAGUUAACCCUUCCCCAGUUUCUUGAUCAAGAUUCUGUCUCUUUUCUUGCAGCUCCCUUGUGUUUAGAGCUGACUUAACUUCAUCCAAAGAGAGAGUUUGUCUCCCAUACAUGAGUGCAUCAACAAAGUUCUUGUAAGACCCUGGAAGAGAGCUAACCAGCAGCAAAGCUUUUCCCUCAUCAUUUAAAGCUUCAUCAAUUGUUGCAAGUGUAUCACACACUUGAUUGAAUUCAUCAAUGUGCUUAUCCAGUGAUGAGCCUUCUGUCAUCUUUAGAGUGAACAUCCUUUUCUUGAUGUACAGAUGUCUCAUUGACAACUUCUCUGAUUAUAGAAUCAGCAAGGCUAAGGAUUAUGGUACCUUUUGCCUUCUUGUCAAUUUCAGCCAUCUGCUCUGGAGUCUUUGAAGAUGAUACUCCCUUCCCUUCUAUCUUAGUUGAAGCUUCAAGUGCAUCACCAAGACCUUGAGUGACCAAGAGAGCCUGGAUUUUAACAUUCCACAUGUUGAAGUCGUUUCUGCCAUUAAACUUCUCCAAAUCGACCUUCUGAGUAGCCAUACCUGAAUCUUGGUUAAGAACCAAGCUCUGAUACCAAUUGUUGAAAUCUGGUUCUUUUCUUUGCUUUGAUGAAGAACCAGAUCCUCCUAAGAUUCUUAGCCAAGAUUAAUCAAGAUGCAAUUUCAGUUUAGAUCAAUUUCAGAGAAUCAACUAAACCCAACAAAGCUCGUAAUGAAAAGAUUAAUUACAAACACAGAAACCAAGAAACCAGCAAGAAAACCAAUCACACUAAAACAGAGCACAAGCUUUAACGUGGUUCAACCAUCAAUGGCUUACAUCCACGAGUGAAUUCCUCAGGCAGCUUUAUUGAAUGAUUCAAGAAGUUUGUUACAGAGAUUCUAAGAACAAGAACAAGUAANNNNNNNNNNNNNNNNNNNNNNNNNNNNNNNNNNNNNNNNNNNNNNNNNNNNNNNNNNNNNNNNNNNNNNNNNNNNNNNNNNNNNNNNNNNNNNNNNNNNNNNNNNNNNNNNNNNNNNNNNNNNNNNNNNNNNNNNNNNNNNNNNNNNNNNNNNNNNNNNNNNNNNNNNNNNNNNNNNNNNNNNNNNNNNNNNNNNNNNNNNNNNNNNNNNNNNNNNNNNNNNNNNNNNNNNNNNNNNNNNNNNNNNNNNNNNNNNNNNNNNNNNNNNNNNNNNNNNNNNNNNNNNNNNNNNNNNNNNNNNNNNNNNNNNNNNNNNNNNNNNNNNNNNNNNNNNNNNNNNNNNNNNNNNNNNNNNNNNNNNNNNNNNNNNNNNNNNNNNNNNNNNNNNNNNNNNNNNNNNNNNNNNNNNNNNNNNNNNNNNNNNNNNNNNNNNNNNNNNNNNNNNNNNNNNNNNNNNNNNNNNNNNNNNNNNNNNNNNNNNNNNNNNNNNNNNNNNNNNNNNNNNNNNNNNNNNNNNNNNNNNNNNNNNNNNNNNNNNNNNNNNNNNNNNNNNNNNNNNNNNNNNNNNNNNNNNNNNNNNNNNNNNNNNNNNNNNNNNNNNNNNNNNNNNNNNNNNNNNNNNNNNNNNNNNNNNUCAAGAUUCUGUCUCUUUUCUUGCAGCUCCCUUGUGUUUAGAGCUAACUUAAUUUCAUCCAAUGAGAGAGUUUGUCUCCCAUACAUGAGUGCAUCAACAAAGUUCUUGUAAGACCCUGGAAGAGAGCUAACCAGUAGCAAAGCUUUUCCCUCAUCAUCUAAAGCUUCAUCAAUUGUUGCAAGUGUGUCACACACUUGAUUGAAUUCAUCAAUGUGCUUAUCCAGUGAUAAGCCUUCUGUCAUCUUUAAAGUGAACAUCCUUUUCUUGAUAUACAGCCUGUUGGCCAAGGAUUUCUUCAUGUACAGGCUUUCCAAUUUCUCCAUCAAACCAGCAACAGAUGUCUCCUUGGCAAUUUCUCUAAUUACAGAAUCAGCAAGGCUAAGGAUUAUGGUACCUUUUGCCUUCUUGUCAAUUUCAGCCAUCUGCUCUGGAGUUUUUGAAGAUGAUGCUCCCUUCCCUUCGAUCUUGGUUGAAGCUUCAAGUGCAUCACCAAGACCUUGAGUAACCAAGAGAGCCUCGAUUUUAACCUUCCACAUGUUGAAGUCGUUUCUGCCAUUAAACUUCUCCAAAUCUACCUUCUGAGUAGCCAUACCUAAAUCUUGGUUAAGAACCAAGCUCUGAUACCAAUUGUUGAAUCUGGUUCGUUAGCUAUGCUUUGAUCAAGAACCAGAUCCUCCCAAGAUUCUCAGCCAAGAUUAAUCAGGAUGCAAUAUCAGCUUAGAUCAACUUCAGAGAAUCAACUAAACCCAAUAAGACUCGUAACAAAAAGGAUUAAUUACAACCUUAGAAACCAAAACCAGCAAGAAAAUCAAUCACACAAAACAGAGCACAAGCUUUAACGUGGUUCAGCCAUUAAUGGCUUACAUCCACGAGUGAAUUCCUCAGACAGCUUUAUUGAAUGAUUCAAGAAGUUUUGUUACAGAGAUUCUAAGAACAAGAACAAGUAAGACACUUCCUCUCAGACUUCCCUCAAUCUCUAUCACGCACGAUGAUCUCCAAACCAGAAGGCUGCAGCUUAUAUACCAGUCUUGUAACAGCUCUAACAACCCAGAUUGCACAGCUCCUUGACACGUGUACUAUGAGUCUGUUAUUUAACGAACUCAGCUUCAGCUAACUAUCACGUGAAGAACCCGUGACUCCACUUAAGUUGAGCAUAUCCAAAACGCACUCAUGUGUUGCCGUUUCGAAACAAAGGAUUGGCUGUGCUUCUCACGUGAUCACUUAAAGCUUCUGAACACUACUGGAAACGCUGUCGUUUGCUGGCAAAGGUGUUUGAAUUCACCUUUCAGCCAACAGAGAAGAAUCAGGAUAAAAAAUUUUUUUUAAAAAAGAAAGAAACGUGGAGCAGGAGAUUGAGAUGGAUCAAGAAGUACUAAGGGAGAGAGAAAAAAAUUUAGAAUUUUAAAAUUAUUAUUUAUUUAUUAUGGCUUAGAUGUUAACAAUUCUGAAACUUACUUUGUCAACAAGUAGCUGUGGAUUAAAAAAAUAAAGAGUUGAAUUUGUUCAUUUAAAUCCUAAGAAAUUUUUUAUUCAUUUUCACCAAUUCAAUUUAAUUUAAUUUAUUUUUUAUCUUUAUGUGAUUAAAUUUUCCUUUUUUUUUUUUUUUUUGAACUUGAACUCUUGAUUUUUUGCUUCAACAAGAAGUGGCCACACCUAAAUUUUUACCAUUGCAAAUUCUUGAGGGGAAUUUUCUUGAUCCACCCACAUAGGUAGUGAGAGGCCUACCUCAAUCCACUUUUUAAAACUGCGAGAGUAGAGGCCCGAACCCAUGUCUACCUUUAUCUAAUUUAAGGACGGUUACCAAUGGACUUGGGCUGCCAAUCAUGUGGGUUCUUCUUUAGAGAUACUAUACAACAUCCUUAUUUCUUAAGCACUUUCGAAGUGUGUUUGAGAUGGUUGUUGGAAGAUUGAAAAAUGAUUUUGCUAAACUAAAUGAUAAUUUUACUGUUUGACUUUUUUUUUAACUUUUUUUUUGUAAAGUCACCUCUUGAAGCAAAUUAGUAAAAAUUGGGUACAAAGCAUUAGACUACAUACAUUUGCAGGCUGACUACCCCGACCACCCGAGGCAAAAAAUAUAAAUCCAAGAUAAAGAUAUAAAAUUUAAAAAUUUACCACGUUAAUGUAAAUUUUAAAGUCCGGCCCCUUUGUUUUAUACUAAAUUUUGUAAUAGACUAAUAAAAUUUAUGGUUUCCAACACCUAAAAAUCUUAAAUCAUUGUGGAAACAUCAACAUGUUGGACUAUAGUCACUUAAAGUCCGGCCCCUUUGUUUUAUACUAAAUUUUGUAAUAGACUAAUAAAAUUUAUGGUUUCCAACACCUAAAAAAUAAAAGUUAUCAAAUAUUUAACUAACUUCUUUACCGCAGAGUAUUUCUCUAAUAUAACUAUAGUUUUCACAUUAAUUGUUUCUUCAAAAAAGAAACGUAAUCUUAAAUCAUUGUGGAAACAUCAACAUGUUGGACUAUAGUCACUUACUACACCGUAUAGAAGAUAAUGUACAUUAUAAUCUCACAUUUAUGACAAUUACGUACAUCCACUUGAGUCGCCACAAGAAUUUUCUAUAAUGAAGAAAAUAAAAAAUAGAAACAAAACUCUUGAGACAAUGUUUAAAUUUUAUUUACUGUAACUUAUAAUUAUUAAAAAUAGUAUAAAAUAAAUAAUAAAUAAGUAAAUUAUGUAGGAUCGGUCUUAUAUUUUUAUUUUAUUUUUAAUAAUUAUAAAUUACAGUGUUACACUACAUAUAAUUAAAAAAGACCCGACUCUUUUACACACACACACACAUAAUGAUAAUAGAUUCCAAAACAUCUUUACAUAAUUAAGGUAACUUUGUAGAGAUUGGAGAUGUAUCAGUAUCAAAAUAGAAAUCCUAAAAUACGCAUAAAAUGUUGCGGCUCCUGUGGUUGGGGUGGUGGGGGUUUUAAAUUUGAGCAGUGCUAGCGACAGUCACUCUCAUGAGAGACUGAUUCAGUCGUUAGCUUCCUCUGCCGACAUGUGUCUGAUAUUUUGAUUUCCGUAUAAUUUUAAAUUAAUGUUAAAAUAUUAAUACCUUUUAAUUUUAUUUUAAUACUUUUAUGAGUAUGUGUACAUAAAAAUAAAUAAUAUUAAAAAAACUAAAAUAAUUAAUAUUUUAACAUUAAUUUAAAAUUAUACAUAAACUAAAAUAGCGGACACGUAUUAACAACAACACUCUUCUUUAAAUUUUUUAUUACCACCCCUAAUCCCUUCCAACCCCACACUGACUUUUAAUUUAGAUUUGCAACAUCUGUUAAUAUUGAAGACAUAAAUUAGGCUGCAAUCACAUCAAUCAGCUAUCGUGACGAUAUAUACUUAAUUUGAGGAUAAAAUUUUCACCAUGACCCUUCAAUGUUAAUCCUCAGCCAUUCUACACUCUUCUAAAGGUUCGUCGUGAUGAUUCAAUCAAACGGCUGUGAUGAGCUCAAUUGAUGGCUUUGAUUUCUUCUUCCUGCUGAUAAACCCUCAUUAUGAGACUCCGUCAAACAAUUCUUCCCUUAACUUGCGGCAAUCCAAUAAAAUUAAUUAAAAAUCAUCAAAUCUUGGAAAACAAAUAAUUUCACAUAAUUUAAAUCAUGAUUUAUGUGCUUAUGUCAUUUUAAAAAUAAAUUGACAAAUUUUAAUUGUCUUUUGAAUUAAUUUAAAAUUAAAUUAACUUUGACCAUUUUAAUUUUUAUUAUUUCUGUUCGUUCGUCUUUUUUAUUAUUGAUCAAACAAAUAACUUUGACUCGUUCACUUGUGACUAUACUACAAGCAUGCGUGCGGACUUGAAGAGUUUAAACAAGGCCGUUCGGUCUGUCUCGUUCUCAGCAACUCUAGAAAAUAUUAUUGCCAAUUACAUAUUGGGUUUUGGCUUUGUCAAAAUUUGAUGUUAAAGAAUGGUCAGUGUUAUGUUACGUUAAACGUAACAUACACAUACUCACAACAACAAUAACAUAAACUGAAUGUGUGUAGGUUACGUUUAACGUAACGUAGAAUGAUCCUAAAAAAUAUGUAAAUUAGCACUCAAGUAAAAAAGAUUACAGAAAUUUCUUUUGCCGACAAACCUUUUAUUAUAUUUAUUGAUAUUUAAAAUAAUAAGAUAACUUCCGUAAUGUAAUUAAUGAAUAAAUAAAAUAAGUUAGUCAAGCAGGUGGCAAGUCAAAAAAAUGUUAAAAGACGUGCAUGGGGGCAGCACCAACUUGACCGGCAACAAUUAACCACAAAGUUUUCUUUCCAAUAAACUUUCAAAUUUUGGAUUAAAAAAAUAUUUUCUUUCAAUUGGUGGUAGCAAGAUACUGGUCGAUUCUUCUAGAAUUUUUGGUUUUUUAUAAUAUAUUAAUUAUGACAUGUUUAAUUAAUUUUAUUUACAACGUACAAGUCAUCACAGAAAAUUAUUAAUUAACGAAAAAGUUGACUUUCCAAUAUACUUCCAAAUUGUGCUGGAGAUAUAUAUCUAUUGGGCUACUGAAAUUAGUUAAGUAAUAUGUCUAUUCAGAGAGAAACACGUACGUGCAACCGCCCCACUACUUUAAAUAAUAAAUAGUGUUAAGUUAUGCAGCUAGCAGAGCAGUAAGUUUGAGAACGGAACUCUCAAAUCUACUAAAUUUAAUAUCAAAGCGCGUCUCAUAUCCAACGUCCAAGAAGUAGAUAUCCUUCAGGAAAGAUCAAAGGGAAGGAGAAGGUUGAUUGAGACUGCUUGCUACUGGGACCUAUUUUCUUGCCUUAAGAGGUAUAGUCUUUAGGGAUUACACAUAACCGAAAAAGAUAAUGGAUUUCAUAGUAGAAUCCAUUGAAAGCUGAGGUGGUGGAAUAAUCCGAUACAAGUUUUUCUUCUACACAAGGUUUGGAAUUUCAUUACGAGGAAGACGAAGUUUCUUUUCCUGUUGGUCAAAUUUUAAUCAAAAUGCAGCAAGUAUUUUGUAUGAGCUACAUAUCCGAUCAAGAUAUUUAAAAAGCUAGUCACCCAAGCACUUCAAAUAAUUGAAACAAAAAUAGAAUUGAUGAGAAUCGAAAAAUCAACUUAGGAUUAAGAAAUGUUGAGAUUGACAAAUUUUGGUUUGAUAUUGUGGUUGAAUAGCUAUAAUUUUUAAGUUAUAAUAUUAAACUGUUCAGUAAAUACUUACUGAUGUGGUUUCAACAUUUUAGCAUUAUUGAUUAAUUUUAACCUUGUAACAUCUUUACUAUUUUUUGUUGAAAUUUUGAUUUUAGAUUCAUAUUUACCAUACACUAUUAACUUUUAUUUCAAAACUAUAUAUAUAAAGUACUGAUUUAGUGCAUGAUCUUAGACUUUAUAAAAUCCCAAGAAAGCUAUUAAAUCAUAUGAUAUAUAUAACCAAACAGAGCCUUUGAUUUAAAAAAAAAGUAUUUACAUGUGUCAUUUACAAAAAAAAUGUGCGGACAAUAUUGUUUUAUCAAGUAUAUAAUCACUAGUAGUAAAAACAAUUAAAUUUUCAAUAAAAAUUAUCUAAAUUUAAACAUUAAACUAAAUUUAACUACUUCCUCCAUAACUAUGAUCAACAACUGCCUUCUACCUCAAACUUAUUUAAAAAAUAUUUGUCUACGUUUACUAAAACGCUUAAUUUUAUUUUUUUGGACUAUCAUAUGUUGAUUUUAUUUUUUCUGAUUAUUAUGUCUCAUAACUAUUUAGCUUUUUAGAGUUUAUAUUUAGGACUUGUUUGUUAGAAGUCUGAAGUAUGAAACUUGAUUAAUUUUUGGCCUUUUUAAAAUUUUGUUUAUUUAUUUUUUGUAACUUAAAUAUGAUUUUUAGACAUUUACAUCUUAAUAGAAAAAGUAAUUUUUUGUGCUUUUUUGUCUAAAUGAAAGAAAAGACUUGAAUGAGAAGUAAGUAUUAUAUUCCAACAAUAUCUCUAUAAAAUAUACUUAUUUUCUAAACAAUAAAAGCUAAUACCUUUUUUUUUUCUAUGAUUUACUAGGAUAUAAACGUCAAAUAAUCAUGUUUAAGAUAUUUUUCAUUUAUAAAAACAGACAUAAUGACACUUAUGUUCACAUAUUUAAAAAUGAAAAAUAAACAUGUCAUUUAAAUAUUCGUAUUCAAAUCUAUUCAGAAUUCAAAAAAAUUUAGACCUAUUCAGAUUUUAGAUAAAAAGACAAACACUAUCUUAAUUUUUGAUCUAAUUACUAACUUCUUAUUACAAUUUCAAUUCAUUGCUUUGUUUGUUCAACAAAAAUUCAUACUAGCACCAACAUGUUCUCUUGAUGCAUGAAGAUAAUGCUACUUGUAUUGUUCAAAUUAGAAAAAAAUAUAUAAGUGAUAUAUAAGCACUUUUUACUAAAAUUCUUCUGCACUCAUGAGCUCUAAUAAACUAAAAAAAUGAAUGCCAAUAAAUGCAUCUACUAAAAACUUUGCCCCUUUGCGGAUAAUAAUAUAUGUAUGUAUGUGUGAGUAUGUAUAUGUAUAUAGUAUGCAUGUAUAAGUGUGUAUAUAUGUAUAUAUGUAUGUAGCUCGGUUUACCUUCGGAAAAUUUUAUUAAUACCUCUUGCUUUUUUAGUUUUUCAUAUAAUAAUAUAAUUUUUAUUUUAUCUUUAAAUAUGCUCUCGAUCCAAGUAUUCAACUCUAUUUUUUUUAAUUGAAAUUAGAUACCUUUUUUACAAAAUAAUUAAAUUAAUAUUUGUUGAAUAAAUUGAAAUCAUUGGGAGCUAGAACAUUGCUACUACUUUGAUUCAUUAUAAAAAAAAAAUGUUAUGAUUGAUCUAAGUGAAAGAAAAAUAUAUCACCGUAUUAACAUCAUCAAUAGUAUUAGGAAGUUAUAAAAUAGUAACAAUCGAAAAAUAUUUUUUAAGAGUUUUGAGGUGCGUAUAUAUGUAUAUACUUCCUCAUUUCUAUGCACCGAUAUUUACAAUAAAUUUAAAAAAUUAGAGGGGCUAACAAAAAGGGCUUGGUUCACCCCUAUGUGGUUGGUAGCGAAUUCACACUUAGCCAUUGACUUUUGAUUCUUGGAAGCACUCCUGAUCAAUUUUUUUUUUCAAAAAAAGGUAAGGGGUGAGUAAACCUAAAUACAGUUUUUUUACUCUCUUCACCACUCCCAAAUAAGCCCAAAUACAAUUUUUACUCCCCUUACCACCCCCAAUAAUCGAAUCCAAAUUUUAAUAGAGGUUACCACUGCACUACAACUAACCCAACCACACCCUUGCGCUCCUGAUCAUUUGUGUAUUGUGUAUAUAUAUAGGUUAAUAUCUUUGGCUCCUUUCAGUGGAUCUGUCAGUAACAUCAAAAGAAAUGAAGCCUCAUGGUUUGUUCUGCCCAAACAUUCUCUCAUUUAUUUCUUCUCUUUUAUUGUUAUCUCAUGGGGUGGCUUUGGCAGCUGAAAAUCAUGAAAAAUUUCUCAAAUGUCUUUCUCUACAGUCUGACACCAUUUCUGAAGUGCUUUACACCCAAAACAACUCUUCAUAUUCAUCAGUAUUGAAGGCUUCAAUACAAAAUCUCGUUUUCUCAACCCCCGAAAACCCGAAACCUCUAUUCAUCAUUACCCCAUUUCACGUGUCCGAAAUUCAAGCAGCCAUUAAAUGCUCCAAAAAAAAUGGUCUGCAAAUUAGAGUAAGAAGUGGAGGUCAUGAUCAUGAGGGUCUUUCCUCUAU